rnacentral:lncRNA from 1 species
UUUUUUUUUCCUGUGUUGUAUGUAUACUGUACCACUUCUCCAUGAUGUUAUUCAAUCCCCCACCAGCUGCCUGGCUGGAAAUUUCCUGUACUGUACAGCCCCACAAGAACACAAUUGACUUGGGGCAGGGAAGUUGACAAAAAGCCAAGAACCCUAAAAAUCCCCACCACAACCAAACAAAACAAACUUGCUUGCUUGUGAAUGAUUGAUUGAUUGAUUCAUACGUUCUCAAAGGGCACCGCCAGCCCACUGAAAAAUCUUGUUCACCAUCCUCUUUUUAUACAAAGGAGAAAAAGAAAGCACAGGAAUCCCAUCCAGAAAACCUGCUCCAUCACCAAAAUUUUUUGAAGCUCCUUGCAAUCACAAACAAUGUGAUCCCCCCACGCCUAUGUACACAGCUCCAGCCACAAUCGACCUUCCUCUUGUGUUCUUCGAGCCCAUGAAGAUCAAAAGUAAAAAACCACGGCCCCCCAAAACUUUGAUCUUCGCAAACUCCUGCAAUCGAAUCGAGCAAAAGAGAGGAAGAAGAUCACGCGGCAGCUGUGAGGAGGCAAGUGUUGUCUUCCUUGUUCCUGUUCUUGCCGCUAUCACCGCCAGCGCCAUCGUUGUUGCUGCCACUCCCAUCGAUGCAUUCCCUGUAAGCCCUGUGAAGAAGCUUGAGCAGAUCCCCGGCCUUGUGCUUGGUCCUUGGAUUACACCCAAUCUGGAGGAAGAAGAAGAGCUUGGGGAACAAACCCACCUCCACCAUCCUCCUCUUGACGAUCUCAUCCGGGCAAUACUUGCAAACCGCCCACAGCACAUCGAUCGCGUACUCGGUCGCCAUAUCCGACACCUUGAACAGCUUCCGCGCCACCGCCGGCACCGCCAGCGCGUGCCGCGCCACCGCCGCCCGCCCCUCGGCGCAGCCACACAGGCAUUCCAGCGCCGCCAGGAUCGCCUCGGUGGUCACCUUGUCCGCCUCCACGAGAAGCUCCGCCAGCGGCGCCACCACGCCCGUCUCCACCAGCCGGACCCUGUUCUUGAGCGGCGGGCACACCGCCAGCACCGCGCGGAGGCUCCCCCGGAUCGCUGGGCGGUGGCGCCGCUGGGAGUGAUCCUCGCCCACCAGGCGCACCAAUCCCUCGAAGAUCCCCGCGGUGGCGCCGACCGCGCCGCGCGCCUCCUUGUCCGCGCAGCACAGCUCCUCGAUCAGCGCCGCCGCCGAGACCCGCGUGUGGAGAUCGCCCCUCUGGAGGAGCCGGGCGAUGGCGGCGAGAUUGCGCGGGGAGAGUAGCUCCUUGCGAGAGGGCUCGUCGAGAUUCGCGAUGAGCGGCGGGAGGAGGGAGAGGAUCUGGGCUUGCGAGUCUUCCUCGUCUUGCUCUUGGCCUUGAUCCUCCGAGAAGGACGAUACCAGCACUGGCGCUAGCCCCGCCCGGAUCAAGAGCGUCUUGCUCCUCUCCUCCUGGCUCCUCGCGAUCAAUCGCUUCACCGCCACGGGGCGCGAGCGGGGGAUUCGCAGCUGGGCGACGAGCACUUGCGCCUCGCGGAGAUCCAUGGGCUGCUCGCGAUCGCCCCGUGCGCCACUCUGGAAUCGAUUCGCGGCGCACCAGCCGUGGAUGAUCCUCUGGAGCGUGUGAUUGGGGAUGAGCUCGUGGGAGUGGAGCUCCUGCAUCGUCACGGGGCACGUCCGGCGGCCCUCCUGGAACCACUUCUCGAUGCUGGAGCGAUCGUAAGUGAUACCCGUGCACACGCUCACGGGAUCGGCCAUGAGGCACAGGGAGAUCGGGCACUUGAAGUGCGAUGGAACCUCGGGGUGAUGCUUGCGCAGCGUUUCCUCCUGCUCGUCGAGACCCAUUUCGCGGACGGUGAUUUGGGGGCGACCCACUUCCCGAUCAUCAAGAACGAGCACCGCCCAGGCCCGCAAUCGAUCCAAAUCCCCCCUUUUGCCGAGCGUGGCGAUGGUCGAUGGCCCCAAAUCCAAACCCGAGUCGCAAACGCUCGGAGAUCUUUGCCUGCAUUUAACGAUCCUGGGCUGGGCUUCUUGCCAGGAAUCCCCAAGAUCACACACACGCGGUACGAGUGGAGUAGCGCAAAAGAUCGCUGCUCGCGCUCGUGGAAGGAAGGAGAAGAGUGGAAGAACCCUAAGGGAAAAGCCUGUGGAAAAAAGGGGUGGAAAUAAAAACGAGCUUUUUUACCGAGGGUGGUAAAUUUUGGUGCGGUGCCGGUGGUGCCUGCCACCGCACAGCACUGACUUUUGCCAUGAAUGCCUCCUCCCCGCUUUUAGCGGGUCAAUGCCGCGUUUAAUCGCGGGUUUUUCCCCCGGGUUUAAAGCGAAGUCAACUUUGCUUAAACCGGGUCGAGAUUUGACCUGGUACCGAAGUCUCCGCGAAUGGAUCGAUUCCAUUCCAUCCAUUCGAUCGAUCCAAGUCUUUUUAGGGCUCUUUGCGUCGCUAGAUUUUUCCACUAUUUUGGAGAGUGGAGCGGUGGUCAGUCAAUUGGAUGAUAUGAAAAUGAAACCUUGGAACGAUUCACGAGACGUUGAACCAAAGAAAGAAUGGAAUAUGAAAGUAUAGAGUAUCGUUUAUCUAUACUACCUACAUGAUGGAUUUGUUUAGAAUUAAAACCAUGGGGGAGGGGUGUUUUACGACGACUUUGCUCCCAAGCAAAUGCCGGAAAGCCUGUUGUUGUGCGAUUUGUUUGAUGGUUUCCACAGCUUGGGUUCGAAGCACCUUGCUCGAGACACAGCAAACAAACAGACAGACAAAAACAAUGGCAGGGCCAAAAGCUCGUCGAGCAAGCAAGCAAAAUGCCCGCAAACCAUAUUAUCCUCGUGAGUGGAAACUCUAAAGCCAAAAAAUCAAUCCAUUCCAGGAGAGCUUUGUCCCUUGGUGAUCAGAUGGUUGUCCAGGAAACCGAAAGAUUUUAAGAUAUCAAAGGUCGGUUUUUCCCUUGCUUUUGCGUACGGACUUUUCCGAUUUCUUCUAUUCCCCCCGGGCCGUACGGGCCAAAGCUGUGCACUCAUUCACGGAAUCAAUGAAAGCUAAACAAUGCCAAACCAAGGACGGGGACUUGAUCUCGCGCAUUGUUUGCUUUCUUCCCAAAGACAUGUUGACAUUGUCAUCCUCCUCACGGACAGACAAAACCAUAGAAAAAUCAUUCUUUUCAAUAGGUGGUACCUCAAGCAAAGUAUAGGGGGACUGAUUAGAGAAAAACCAAGCUUCCAGAACCUGUGCUAAUUUACAAAGGUGAUUCACAAGAAUUAUUGUGGCUGCUCCAAGAAUCAAAGGGUGAAUGGCAUGUUGAUAUCGAAGAGAUUCGCGGAUGUAAGUUGUGGCUCCUGUAUCCAAGAGUUAUAGAUCGUAGGCUAUACGAGUUUCUAGAAAAGAGAUACGAACCUGCGUUAAUCCACCAGCGACGCUUCCACCGGUUAAAAGCAUUCCUAUAAGAGUUGUCACACCGCCCCCGCCGAUCCCUCCCGAGGAGGUAUUCGCGUUCCGGAUAGCCUGACGCAUCCCAUUCAAGACACUUCCAUAAGUUUUAUGCCCGUGCUCAAUGGCCUGGAUAAAGCAAUAAGUCAUAGCUCCAGUCGAAGUAACUUUCGACAAAGCCUGCAAGUAGAACAAGAUUUAGCUGCGAGCCUACGAAACUUUGCGACAGAACAUACAGAAGUAUCGGCCGAAGUUUGCCCGUCGUCACAGCCACUGAAUGAGAACGCGUCGCCGCCGCCGGUACCUUUCCAAGCCCCGGAUCGAGGCCGAUGAUCUUCCCAAGCAAACUGGCCAUAGCUGCAAGAAACGAGAAGAAAAAAGAGGCCUUUUGAGAGACUUUUGCGUAAAUCCCAAGUGAGGCAUACCUGUUAAACUUGCAGAGGAAGGGAAGAUCCAGCGCAGUCCCGCUGUGGCAAGCAUCGAUAAUGCAGUGGAGCUUCACUCCACGAGGCAAAGGCCUGACUAAAGUCGCGUUGAGCUCGUUGUCCACGAGCAUUCCUUGCGUCUCAAAGUCCACGGGACAAAGCGUCUCGUCAUAUCCGUCAACCUCUUCGCCCGUGUAGUCCCGCUGCUGCGAUCCAUGGCCGGAGUAGUGAAAGACGAGAGAAUCUCCCGACUUGCACCCCUGGACGAGCCAAAACAUUGCCAUCCUCAUGUUUUGCUUCGUGGGAAGUCGUAGAGGGUCUCUCUCUUCCUCUGGAUCAUCACGAAAAAACCAACUUUCAGAAAAUACCAAAGAGUCGAAUCAAAGUUACCUGUGAGCAUGAGGAUCGAAGACUCCGGGAACUGGAACUUGUUCAUGAGCAAGAACUUCAUACACUUGGCGUCAUUGAUGCAACCUUUGAGCUGGUAUCGCGAGUACUUGUAGCUGAUCCCGACGAUGAGCGCUCGCUUGGAUCCAUGAGCGCUGGGAACACUCGGGGAGUACUGGAGGGGAUUGGCAGGAGGAGCUCCAUUCGAGUAUGGCGAUGGUGGGACGUUGCGAGGCUCGGCGAUGUGAGUGACGGCAUGGCAAAGCGCACAGCGAAUGGCCUUCGCUCCAGCCGGGAGUUGCAAAGGCGUGCGGCAAUUGCUACAAUUGACGAGCAUGUAGGACGCCAUCCAGCAAAAAAUUCCUCCAAAAACACGAUCGAGGAGCUAGAAAUAGAACCAAGAAAAAUCCUCGAAGAGCUAGAACCAAGACCCAAAUUCACUGCUGCCCUGGAAGCGUUUCUCAACGAUCUAAGUGAUCCCUAAAGAACCCCAAAUUCUCUCUGCCGCGAUCGCACUGCCUCUAGGCUUACCUCGCCUUGAUCCAUCGCAUCGCUCCCCACAACGAGCGCCACAUAGGAGGACCUCUAAAGAUCGCCUAGGGGUAUCUCCCGACGCGCACAAAUGGAAGGAUCCACGAAUCUAAGCGCCUAGCUACACGAGAAACACCGUCCGAUCUGACGCCCCGAAUAUUCCCAAAAUAUGAGAAUCACCCAGAUCCAUGACCUAGAUUCCCACAGAAAGGUAUAUUAUCAGGAAUAAUCUCUUCUGUACAAAAGGUAUAUUAUUAGGAAUAAUCACGGUAUGUUCAUUUUUAGGGCUUUUCUUUUAUUAGCGAAAAGUUACUAUUCGUAACGUUUGACUUAGUGCGGCACAUGUUUCCCAGGGAGUGGCCACAAACAGUCACGAGACCGGUCAAAGAUUUUGGCCGGUCAAUCCGGGCCGCGUCAAAUCAAAACACUUAAAGCACGCGCCUGUAAGCUUCGCUCCAUGCUUGCUCUGCGGCGGCGACGCUAUAAAAACGAAAAAUCUCAACGAUGCUGGAGCACUGCGAGACCCAAUCAGUUAGAAGAGCGCCCGAGAAAGAGAAUUCUAUCCAUUCCCUGAUUCGAUCGAUCGAUUUGGUGGUCAGAAGAUAGAAGCUUUGGAUGAAAAUGGCGCCAGGAUCGAUUGCCGGCUUGCUGCUCUUGAUGGCGCUGGCUCUGUCCAUGCCUGGGAUGGAAUGCUCGCGGUUGGAGCCUCGGAAGAACAUCGAGGAGCGAUCGCCAUCGGGUCUUGAGCUCCGGAGCAAAUUCGUAGCGCCCUCCGGCCCCAAUCCGGGGGGGAAUGCCGCGAUCCUGGGAGGCAAGAAGGAGGUCUCUCGAUCGACGCUCAUUGGGGCCAAAUUCGAUGCUCCAUCAGGCCCCAAUCCAGGGGGGAAUCGCUUCGCUCAAGGCGCCAAGCUCGAGAUCGAGCUGGGCAGCAAGAUGCCCAAGGGAAACUUCACCCCCAAUCCAGGACCCAGCAAGGAUCACAAUGCGCAGACGAUGGGCUCGUCGUCCAGAGUGGCGAUUAGCAGCAAAUUGCCCAAAGGCAGCACGCCGGGCUCGAGCCCCAGCCCGGGACACAACUCGGUGUCUAGAAUGCUCAAAGUUCCAUCGCCGCCAUCCUCCAAGAUCGCCUGCACCGACGGCCUGGAUUCCAGCUCCAGCUUGCUUGCAACGGCCCAGAUCUUCUCCCAUAAUUAAAGGGGAAAAGGAGAUCCAAAACAACAUUUUUUGUAGGAGUAUGAUGAUCUUGAAAACGUGUACAUUUCAGUAAAUACGAAAAAGUGCAUAUAUGUAUAAUUCUCGGAGUUAAUUUCGAGAUCUAGCUGGUAGAGCUGAGUUCUUGAGAUUGUUCUUACUUCUCUGGUUCUAGAUUCAUCGAAGCUUUAGAAAUCUCUCCACAAAGACGUGAUGAAAUCGACGCUCUCGGGAAAAUUUACAAGAACAUUAUGAAUGGAUUUUCAACGAGAAGGAGACUCUCGCAAAAACUGUGGUUUGUUCAUUGCGAGUUUAGUUUUAAUGUCAAGAGCUUGCAGUAGAAACCAAGGACGAGGAUCAUGCUCUUGCAAAAAUGGUUCUUUAUCAGCGAUGCGCAGGCAAAAAGCAAGAUCCUAUAACUUUUUCGCUAACCAAAGGAAGAACAAAGUAAUAGCGAAGGAUCCAGUCGCGGGGACUACGAGAAUACAAAGUCUGUACGUUUUUGCGGUUUUAAACGCUUACGAAAGCGAAGUUUCCACCACAGGGACACGACACCAAGAUCGUGUCAAGGAAUCGAUGGAAAACUGGGAAGAAAGUGAACUUCCUAGAACUGAUCGAUUGUUUAGUUUCUUGUCUACACCCAGAUUGGAACGACUGAUAACUGGAAGUCAUGGAGUGGCUCCACGAGAGAAAAGUAUAAAGAAGAAAGAACGCGCCGAUUUCUCGUUGCUUGAUUCAAGUACUACGGUAGGUUUGUGUAGUUUUUCUUCGUUUCACGAUUAUUAUAUUGGGAGAUCGAGGCGCAGACAAACUUGAAGUUGUAGAUUGAUUCGAAAGACACAGGAAAUCCCGAGCAGGACGUAGAAAUGCUGGAAGCAUCGAAGAAGAGCUCGAGUGGGAUGAGAAAUACGAACGCAAGAACAAAGGGGGAACAAACCGCGACAUGGUUGAAAGCAUUUGGACGAACUUCGAGGAAAUCAAACCGAAGGUUUUAUUUCUUCGCCGAGGAUAUGAUACAAUCUUAAUAAAAUGAAUCAAUAUAUGUAUAAGAAUUGAUAUUGAUCACAUCUCGUUGAUCGCCUGGGGGUGGUAGUAGCACAUCUCCCUCCACACAUACUCCCGCAAGUUACUGCUCGUGUCGACCAUUUGAUCCUCCAUGACAUCCGGAGGGAUGAUAUUGUCCGGACGAAACUGGUAGACAUCUCCAGCGUGAUUGUCGUGAACCAGAUUGAAGUACGGAUGAUCCAGCGCCUCCGACACGGUGAUCCGCUCCUUUGGAUCGAAGGCAAGCAUCCUCUCGAUGAGCUGCAACGCCUGCGGAUUCGCGUGUGGAUAGAGGCGAGACAAUGGAACUCUCGGCGUUGGUGGCAAGGAGCGGAUGUAGCUUCGAGCUUUGUGGUUGCUGAUGAACCCGAGCUGGCUCUCCUUGGGCGAUCCGAUCACGUCGAUGAUGAGCUUGAGCUGGUUGAUGUAGUUCUUGCCUGGGAAGAUCGGCUUUCUCCCCAGGAGCUCGGCGAAGAUGCAUCCCACGGACCAGAUGUCGAUGGCGCUGGUGUAGUCCUCGCACGAGAGGAGGAGUUCCGGAGCGCGGUACCAGCGAGUGACGACGUACUCGGUCAUGAACUGGCCUUUCUCUCGCCCGGUUCUCGCGAGGCCGAAGUCGGCGAUCUUGAGAUCGCAGUUUGCGUUGAGGAGUAAGUUGCCGGGCUUUAAGUCGCGGUGGAGAACGUUGGCCGAGUGGAUGUACUUGAGACCACGAAGCAGCUGGAAGACGAAGAACACACACACGUCAAUGAAGAAAAAACAAAUUUUUACGACGGUAGAAACUAGACGGACUGGGAACAGAGGAUUUUCAUGAGAAAAAAGCAUGAUUUUGAUGACUGAAAAUCGAAGGACAGCAUAGAACUAAGUAGAUGAGAUCGCGGAGGAGCUGGGACACAGACCAAAACUUAAGAAAAACUGAUUUUGCGACGUAUGGUAGAACCAAACGAGCCAUACUUGGAUCAAACAACUUAGAGAACAUAACAAGACGUAGGAAAUACGGAGAGAUAACAAGAAAAAAACCGAGCUGAAAACGAAGGACUAUAACCAGGCACAGCUAAACGAGGAAAGGAAACAAGGAAGAGUACCUGAUAGAUAAAGAACUGGUAGUGCUCGUCCGUGAGGGGCUGCGAGGAGCGGAUGAUCUGGUGCAAAUCCGUGUCCAUGAGCUCGUAAACCAGGUAGACAUCGUUGAAAGUGUAUCUCCCGACGGGCUUCAUGAUAUCCAGCAGCCCCACCACGUUUUCGUGCUGCAAGUACCGCAGCAGUCGCAUCUCCCGCAAAGUUCUCAGCGCGUCGAUGGAGUUCUCGAAAGCAUUCCCAAUCUUCUUAAUGGCAACCUUGUCCCCGGUCUCCAGAUUAUCGGCCGAGCACACCACUCCAUAAGCUCCCUUCCCCAGCGGACGAAUUGGAACAUACUUGGUGUCGAUCUCAAACAAGCUGUGCCACAGCAUGUAGUAGUGCUUGUCUGGAGGGCAGUAGCCAUUUGGAGGAUCCAUCUUGGUUGCCAUAGCUGUGAGAGUGAGAGACCUCUAUCUCCUUGAGCGAAGGCUCUCUAUCUCGGCUUGAGACCUCUACCUCUCGUUCGUCCGUUCUCUCGAACAGAGAGAAAGAGAGCGAGAGAUCUAGCCGAAGCUGCUGCUGCUGCUACAAUUUCCCCCAAGUUUCUUUCCUCUCCCAAUUCGAGCUCUGGCUGAGAUCUGAUACUACUCGGUUUACCUCUUCUUUCGUGGCAGCCAGUGGCUAGUUUGCUCGCCCACGGCACUCCUGGAAAAAAAGGAUAAAUAGGCCUAGAGAUGGAAAGAAAACGUAGUGACCGUGUCAAGAAUACUGCGCAGCUAAACACGAACGCUGGAAAGGACUGUGGGCGAGGAGAUUAGUUUUCGCACUUUUCUAUCGAUUUUAAUUGCGUUUGUUGGAAAGACUUACUCACACUCGUCGUCUGGAGACGCACGAGCAUUUUGUACAGGGGCGCCGAGGGCCACAAACAAAAAUAACACGCUAAUACAGAGAGACACAGUCGUGGCUAUGGCGAUGGCGAUGAAAUGGGGCCGCCAGGGAUGGCGAAGUUGGAACCAGUAUGCGCAACACAACAACAACGAAGAAAAACCAUCUCGAUCGCGUUCUUGGGUUUACCUCUCAGGUCAGAGGAGGAAACCAACAAAGAAAGUGGAAGGAAGAAAAAAAAUAACUUGGGCAAAGUCAAAAAAGCAGUAUCGCAAUCUUACUCUUGGAGCGAGCAUCUUGAGGUCGCGACUAGAGAAAACGAAAGAACGAAAACUUUGAACAAAGAAAAAGAGAAUGUUUGAGAAAAAAGGUUGAUCUUUCAGUGUAUACUUAGCUAGCUAGUGGAUCUGAUCGAAGCCCACAACGAAAGAGCGCUACAGAAAAAAUUAGUAGAAAGAGAAGACCAUUGAAAUUUCAAAACGAUGAAAGACGAAAAUGCGUCGUGAACAAAAACACGGAUCUAUCUACAUGGGUAACAUCCGUUGCCGGGAUUUGAACCCGGGUCGCCUGGGUGAGAGCCAGGUAUCCUGACCGGACUAGACGACAACGGAUUUAUUAGUCGGGCUGGCUAAGCUGCCAGAUAAUUAAUACCCGUACCUCUUUUCUCGCCGGAAAGAUACCGUACGAUUCAAACCAGAAGAAUCAGUGGAAUACACAGAUCUCGUGGUGUGUUAUGGAAGAACGAAAGAGAACGAGGACGAAGGAAAGAACAUUUAUUUUCUACCAAAGUUUCGAUUUAAGUCGAGUGACGAUCACUUGACUUGGAUUCCAAACUUUGGGACGAUGGCCGAUCGCUCACUACUCUCCGAGGCUGAAAGGAUUUGGGUAGCUGAACGGAAGCGAGGAAGCCCACUGCGAGUAGAAGAAGUGCUGGAGCAUGAGCGGCGGCGGCGUAGCACUGAUCCCCAUCUGGAAGCAGUAGUACUGCGCCGCGGUGACGGGAAUCGCCGAGGCCCAGACGAGGAAGCAGAGUGGCGGCGGUAGCAGCCAUGGAAUAGGUGUCCAGCUCGAGGCGAUGAGCAAGUUCAUCAGAAACGGUGGGAAAAACAUGGUGAUCGACGGGUGGAAUCGAGUGCCAAAGUUGGAGAAGAGUUUAGGCGAUGAAUCUCACUCGAAGAGAAAGAAGAGAACUCCUUUUUCUUCUCGAUCGUUCUCCUGGUCCUCUUGAGAAGGCUCUACACUCACACCUGGAAGAACUUGGGAGAGAGCAAUAGUUCUAAGUAGAAAGAAAAACACUAUGCUCACUUAUAGCAAGCUAGAAAACGCACAAUCCACUUUUACCCGGAGAAGGCCACGCAUGCGCGAAUUGGAGGAAUCAAAGACUCACAUUCCUAGCGUUCGUUCUUCCUCUCCUCCUCUUCUCUCUCUCUCUCUCGCACCAAUUCCUUGCUUUGUUCGCUCGCUAUAAACAAAGCGCCUUAAAUGAUGCGCAACGGACGAUCAAACAAGAGAGAAGAAAGGAUCGAAACAAAAGCAGUGAAAAAACUCGCGAGAGAAAGAGAGAAAGCGCUGCGCUGCGCAGCGCCCCCUCCACAGCAAAGCAGCGAAUUAGGGCAGAAAAGCUGGAAGAAGAACAAAGUGUUAAACGAGAGCUCCUAAAUGGGAAAGGAGGUUUAAAAUUUAAUACACAUUUGCAUGCCAGGUACACGUGUCGCGCAAGCGAGAACAAGGAAUCUUCUUCUUUUUCUUCGUAUGGAGAUGGCGGCUCGCAAAAAAUAAUAGAAAGCCAUGCUUGAGAAGAACCUGACGCUGGAUCUGGCGAGAAAUCAGUGUCUCUCUCGCGGGAGCUCCUGGAAUCGAUGCUGCUUCUCUCCUCCAGGCGAGAAAAUUUAAUGCCAGUGCGAGAAGAUUCUUGCCUGUGUUGUUCCUCCUGCGCUCGUCCAUAAACUUUCGACGCUUGUUUCGUUCUUUGGAAGUUGAAACGAUUGGGAGUGAGAGAAAUGGAAGAUAUCUGGAACAUAGAAACAAACGGAGACCUUAAUGGAGCUACUGUCCGAGCUGCUGACACCAUCGCUUUCUUCCUCUCUAGGAAAAUAUAAAGCUUUCGAUUUUAUUUUUUUGUCUCCACACUGUGAUUAAGCUGAGAGCUCGGCGAUUCAUGCACUGCGCCUGUCACCACAGAGAGAUCCAUUAAACACAAAAGCAAAAGAGACACAUUGAUUUUGUUUGUCAAACGUAUUCUUUUGAAUUCCAGAGGUUUUUAUUCUUCCUUGGCUGGAUUGUUUCAGCCAAGGCAUUAAAAGAACUACCAGUAAAUAGAUGGACCACAGGGAAUAUUUGCUAGCAGAUUGCCUUGCAUAAGCUUUUUUGUCUUGCACAUUCUUUUUGAGUAUCUUUCAUUUGAGAGUUCAAGCUUUUGUUCAUGAAAUGCAAAAACUAAUUUGCUGUGCUGUUUGGCUUGCUUGUGUAUUUUAAAUAUUAUAUAUUAAAAUAUAUCCUCUAUAUAUUAAUUAAUUUUGUAUUAGUAAAAUUUCCAAAUUGAUAACACAACAAAAAACAAUUCUGAGAAAAUGAAAUUUUUUUUUGCACUAUUUAGUUUAAAACACUUACAAAUUAAUAAAUGAGAUAUAUAAACACUAUAUAAGCAACUUUAACUUUCUCUUGGACACUUUUUAUUGAUGAUAGCACCUCCUCUUUUAAUCAAAGAAAAUGGAAUACUCUGUAAGAUGUUUGAUUACUUUUUAUAUUGCUCUUUGCACUCUUAUCAUUGAUAACUAAGAAAGAAGAAAAGGAAUUUUAUACUCAACAGAAGAAUACUUUUAGUAGAAAACCUAGACUUUUCCCACUUCCCAGAUUCAAACCCUUCUGUCUUGAUUAUAAUUCACAAAAGAGUAGCACAAAACAGUCUGUGAGAUCUAAACACAAGAUUAGUCUAAAUGAAUAUCAAACCUUUAAAUAGUAAAAUAUGCUCCAAAGGUAUUUGAGGUAUAUCCAAUACCAGCCCAUAGGUUUGCUAAAGCAAAUUAAAGUUUUUAGUGGCUAACAAAAACAGGGUUUAUUGUGCAUUGCCAAUAUAUUGGUGCUAUUCCUGCUUUUGUAUAUUUAUAAAUUUUAUCUAUAUGUGAUUUGUUAGUUUCUUAAAAUGUGUAUUGUCUUUUAUUAUUUUAUUCAUAUCCUUCCUUCUCCAUUUUUGUUUGAAGUGGUUUUACUUAUUGAUUUUGAUUGCUAAUAUUGAAAUGUCUUGUAAUUACUAGUAGUUUUUAAAUAUAUUUUUUAUAUAGUUUUGUAUAAAUAUUUAUAUAUUUAGUUCAGAUUUAUAUAGAUUUAGUAUUGUGGGAUUUUGAUAGCCAUCAAAUUGAUUUCAAUCCAAACCACUCGCUUCUAUAUAUAAGUUUAAUCAAAAUACAUAUUUCUGUAUUCCAUUUCUAUAUUAUAUGCACUCACACAAAAUUUAUAAUUUUUUAAUAAUUUUUCUUAUAUAUAUUAUAUUGCCAUUAAUUUUGUUUUUAAAAUUUCUAAUUUUUUAUAUUUAUAUUCAUUUUGUGAUGUCCAAAUAUAUAGCUAUAAUGCUGUAAAUUAAUAUUCGUAUAAUGGGAUUUUAAUAACCAUUGAAUUGAUUUCAAUCCAGACCAUUCACUCUUAUAUAUAAACUAGGGUUUAUAAGCUGAUUAAUAUACACACAUUUCUUUAUUCCAUUUCUUUAUUCAAUACACUUAUAUUAGUGGAGAUAAGAGGCAACUUUGAUUGUCCCUGAAGAGUGUUUGGAAUUAGGAUUUAAAUUUAGAUUUAGCUUUUACAUCAUUUAGAUCUUCCUUCUUUAUAGCUUUUUCAAUUUUUUUUCUUUUGCUUUUUCCUUUUUGUUCAUCAUCAUAGUAGAGCAGCAGCCUCCCCCUCCUUUGACUCUAGAGCAAUAGUUAGUGCAAUUGCUCGAUGCGAUGUGAUUAUAGUUGAACAAUUAGACUUAAUUAAUAGUGACAUUCACAAUGUAAGCUCUAUUUCGUUAAAGUGGGAAUUGUCAUUAUCCCACUUGUAAAAUAAGGUUUCCAAACCUUUAUAUAGUAUAUAAAUAUAACAAAAUUCAACUGCAUUGAGGCACAUGCCAUUUUAUUUUAAACAAGGAAAUGUCUACUCAAUCACUUCUCCUCCCCCUGCCACUGCUUCACCUCUCUCUUCUCCUUGUCAUCGUCGUCCAAUUUCUUUCCAUCCUUUUAAUAUUGGCUCAGUUGCUCCGAGUCUAGGUGGAGCCCAAGUCCCCAUUCAAUCUUUACUUUCCCAUUAUUAAUAAAACAACUUCGUAGACUUCCAAUAACAUGCUGUAACACUUCUAGUAUAAUGCAAAUCCUCUCAAAGAAUUGUCUUUUAAUAUUAAUACAAUUGCAUGGAACACCAUGCCAUAAUAAGUUACAUUUUUAAAUAAAUACAUGCCAUCUCAGACUGUUAUUUUUUGCCUCCAACGCCUAUACAAUAAUCUUGGAAUUUCAUCACUCUCCACACUAUCAGGAUUUAAACCCAAUAGUAAUGCCAUCUCUUCUCUAAUACGUCCACGCUCAUGUUCAGUGGUCGAAGAACCCAUCCGGUUGAGCAGAUUAUGGAGAUGCGGAUAGUGCUUGGCUAGACAAUAUACAUGCCAUAAAUGAUGACUGGUGUCUGUCCAAUCAAAUGGCUUCUGAUAUACCGUUCCAUCUGCCAUUUGGUUGAUUUCUGCAGCCACCUCCUGGACUGGCCGGUUCUCUAUCACCAUCGCUCCAAGCCGUUUUGCAAGGUCCCCCAGAACAUACGGUUUCUUCUCCCUAGUUUCCAUACUGCAAGAGAUGGGGUGCACUGCAUAUGUGUGCGUGUUCGCUGCAGUUUUAAUCGGCGAGUCAUCGAUGAUGAGGAUUUCACUUGAGCUAGCAGUCCGGUUCAUCACUACAGCCUCUGGCUUGACGAAGAUGGGCUUGCUACCCCUCACAUGGACCAUAGUCAAGCAAUCCUCCUGCGUUAGGAGAAAGUCAAAUGGUAAUAUUACUCGCGUCUGAUCGUGCAUCAUCUGUAGCAACGUUAAUGCAUUGUGGCGCAUCAUGGAUGUCCAAACUCCCAAUUGCAAAUUGAACCCGGCCCUCUGUUUUAAGUGUCGCAUGGUCAUUAUUAGAUCCCGCAGUUUCUCCCGUGUGAUUAAUGUGAAUCUGUCUCUUUUGACCAACUUGCGACCGCAGGCUUUGGAGGGUGCAAUGACAUUCGAGGACGAGCCACGCUCAUGGGAGAAAAGGACACCGUUCAGAUCAAAAACGAUACAGUACCUUCGCCGUGACUCUGAAAUGAAAUGCGUCAGCAUAAAAAAUGGUACAAGUCAAUUUUACCAUCUACAAUAUUAGCGAAUGUUGCUCCCGAUGGUCGUUGAGAGGGUUUUGGUCGAGGAAACGUGAAGGGCGGAAAUACUCUCCUCUGCAAUGUGGGGUCAAUCGCAUCCGAUGGCGUGUGGGCACAUGCCAUUUCAGCUGUAGACUCUGGUACAACUGGCUCAACAGUGGCAUGGGGUGGUUCCGAUGGCGUGUGAUCACACGCCAUUUCAGCUGGUGCCUCCGUUGGCAAAGUGGACAUGACCGAACAAGCAGCAGGGGCGGUGUAGGGAGGUUCCAACGGUGCGUAGUCAGACGAUUGGGCACACGUUGAGUCCGUUGGAAAUGAGGAUACGACCGGCUCGGCGGCUGGGGCGGCCUCAUGUGGGUCCAAUGGCGCCUGGUCACCGUCAGUUGGAUACGUGGACAAGAUUGACUCAAUGGUAUGGGCAGCAUCAAGUGGAGCGUGGUCAGCUUGCUUGGCGUUGAUAUGGAUAGUAGCCUCCACCAGCUCUGAUGACUCUUGCAGCCAAGUAGAGUCCACUGGCGGAUCCAUAUGCAUGUCCAAAUAUCUCCCUUCGAUUGAGAUGGUAUCCUCCCGUGCUACUAAAAACAAACUCAUUAGCACAUUGAAUCGACUAUACUGUAUUUACCAUCAACUGCUAUUGAGGAACUAGGACCGAUAUCACUUGAGCGCACUGCUGAUUCUGAAGGAUUGGACAUACGUUUCGACCCUUGCUUGGCACUAUCCUUCCUCGACACUAAAGGCUAGAGUUUGUAAAUUCAACUGAAUAAUCUCUACUUACCAUUUGCUCUGCGACCUACAUGGACAAUGUUAGAAAUGGUAAAAGGUUAGGAAUGGAUGUAUUAUUAUUUACCUGAUGGUUUGUCUUGUAUGACCUUCCUCCGCCGCUCUUUGGCCACCUCAGGCUGGCCAUCGUCGUCAUCAUCGUCGUUGUCGUUAUUGUGAUCGUCACCAUUGUGAGGACCAUCCAAGUCCUCUUCGUCCUCCUCUUCUUUGUCCUCCUCUUCGUCCUUCUGCUCUUCUUGCUCAUUAUCUUUCUCUGGCUCCUCAUCCCCCUCCUGCAUUUCUUCCAUAGGCUGCUCAGGCUGGAUGGCUUGUUCUUCCAGGACCAUCUUGGGAAAAUCAUCUGGCCGAGUCUCCAUCUCAAAAUACAAGACAUCCAUAGCUUGUUUUAGUGCGUGACCUAGGACCGUAUCCUCACCCGACUGUCUUAACAUGGUUUCUGCACGUUCUUGCACCCUUCGAAGACGACGAGAUGAGAAAAACGUGGCCCUGCCUUGAAAAGCUUCCCUCAUCCAUUGUACCUCUCCAUUGAGAUUGGGGAAGGGGAGUCCGCCAUAGGAAUCUGAGUCAUGAGGUGGUGACUGCCUGCUUUCACUCAGCCCUUGAUCUGCAAUGAAUGGCAUGAGCACACACGCCAUAACCGCGAGGCAUUACCUAUCAUCUUUUCGUUGCCCUUCUUCCUUUUCGAAUCAAACGCCUCUGAUCUCGACGACUGUCCAACGUGCUUUCGCUUUUUAUGACCACUGUCAGUUUGAGCUUGGCUGGUGCUUGCCUGUUUUGCCUUUGAAGAAGUUUCUCCUGCAAGGAAUGGCAUGAGACCACACGCCAUUGCAAAUAUAAUUUGUACCUCCUGUUUUCCUAUUGCUUUUCUGUUUGUCCUUCUUCGAUGCGCCACCAGUGCGCUUUUCAGUCCUCGUGUCUAAAUAUUCACAACGAUCUAUAAUCAAAAUGGCGUGAGGCCUCACGUGACCUUACCUUGUGCAGGUUGUGAGCUCGGCCCAACAUGGGUAUCUUCAAAAGUAGCUGUUAACGCCGUUUCAGCAUCUGGGGGUGGCCACGCUCCUGCAUACAGAGCUUGUGAGAUAACAUUUAAACUUAAAGUGUGUACUCACCAGGUUCGCAGAGAAGAUACUGUUUUUCUUUGGCAACUGUAAUUAUAUGCUCCAUUGAAGUCAUCUCUUCAAUGGAGUUUGUCACCGCAACACAAGGGACACCCUUGAGUAGUGCGGCUCGAAAGAAUAGUCCGCCGCAGUUGUACUCGACAACGCAUUUGCCCUUGGAGUCGGAAGCAGAUGACCCACCCGCUAUUGCGUUGAAGACCCAGCUGAGCAUUUCCCAUGCUGCACCUGGAGCUUUCUUUGGAUUCGAAAGCUCCAUAGCCGUCUUCAGUUCCUCAGGCACGGGUAAAUUGACCUCCCUCAGAUCAAUUCGAUUGGCCUUGUCGAACGAAGCUGGGAAGUCACUCCAGUCCCACUCUGCUGCAGGACCAAUAACAAGGGCGAGUGUGAAGAUGCGGACAUUCGUCGGUAUCUUCUUCUUAGCCAUUAUCCCAUGGAUCUCCCGCAUCUCCUUGCCUUUCAACCGAGCCUUCACCUCGUUCAAGGCCUUCCAGAACUUGUGAUAGGAUUCGGAGUCGUAGAUCAUAUAGUGGACUGAAGAUUCCACCUCCGCAAGUCCCACCAUUAAGUCAAUGAUGGAGCUGACUUCGUCUGCAUGAGUGAUCUCCUCGUUUGUGAAGUCCAUCACACAAAAGAUGUUCUUGACCUGCUCAUCUCCGCGGGAAACGAUGCUCCUCCACCUUUGAUCCUCAUCCGAAUUCAAGUAUACCCGGUAAGGUUCUCGAUAGGCCUCUGCUGCGGGGUCGAGCUGUUUCUGAAGCCGGCGGUCGACAUCAAUCUUAAUGAAAUUUGGAUACUGAUCCAACUUCUCAGCUUUACUUUUCGUGGCAUCCCGCAGCAGAUCGAUGAACUUGGGGGCCCCCUUCACGUACUCGUCGAUGUCUUCAUUUGACAACUCCAGCGCUUCCAUCAUCUCUUGCGUGGUGUCGAUGCUCACCCUCUCCACGGCCACUUGCUCGAAGAUCCAAUCCUUCAAUAGCGCACGAGCUCUCAGAGUCGUGCACAAGUCCUCGUAUGUCACAAUAUGGCCGGGAGUCAUUUUGGUCUUGUUGAAGACAACCUCACCACGUAGAAGAGCAUUAGCCACUGUCAGAAGGUCGUCGUCGUCUAGAGACCGCGAGAAACGCAAGGCGUUGAGCUUCAAAUCAUUGGGCUUCCGGCCGUCCUCCACACCCAUUGAGUUUGGCAACUCCCCGUCAUGGUACCUCCUCAGCACAUCUACCCAUUUGUCAAAAACAACUUUUGUCGCGAGUAGAAUGUUAUGGAUGCUGAGUGUGUCAUUGACCCCCAGUGUUUUCGAGAGAAGACUCGAGAAUUCCUGCAAUGGAAAUGGCGUGAGGCCACAUGCUAUGCCACAUGCAACGAGGCUUACCUGCCAGGCGCUAGUUGCUAGUGCACGUCCUUGUCCUGGUUUUUGUGGCUUCUUCAGUUGAACCCAGAGCUUCCGUGUUCGUGCCAAUGUCUCGUGCAGACCCGAUUUGUAGCACGUUUCUUGCUUGACAUUCUGCGCGUGGGAGAUGUAUAUGAUAGAUCGGAGGGGCGAGUUGCCUUUUAUCAGGCGGACAACUCUUGUCUUGAAGACUUUCUUCACCUCCUCGCCCACCAUAAUAUCCACAACUAUCUCUUGCAUCGCCAAGCUAGAAUGCUGCCCGGAGACGGCAUAGAACCGGAUGUUCUGAUCGUCCAACACCUUCCUAUUGAUCAAGUCUGGAAACCUCGUCUCGCCCUUCAUUGUUCGGUAGUAGGGGAUCACGUCUGCGAUGUCGGGUGUUACUGGACUUGCCAGCAUCUUCUGCUUCAGUUUCUCCACCCACUCAUCAGAUACUAGCCUGUGGUUGUAUUUGCUUUGGAUGUCGAUACGGCUCACGUCGAUUGUAUAUACAUUGUUGGAAUAGUAACAAGUACUAUUAUCUGCGACGAUUUUUGCUGCCUCUUCUUGCUCUUUCUGCUCUUUGCGGCUCUUCUUUUUGGUGGGUGUAGUGUUCGAACCCGAGGCAAUGGCAUCACUGAGUAGCUUCUUUUUUGGAGCAGGAGAGUCGGACGUCGGCUUGAGCUUGACCACCCUUUUCUGCUUUGAGGUAGUUUCCAGAUCGACCCCCUUCCCCUUUGCUUCGCGAACUGGAGUCACUCUCAACGGCUCAAUGUUGGAAUAUAGUUUUUGAACAUCGCCGUAGGUGAGGUCCGUGGAUUCCAUGUGAUCUUCAUAGACCCGCAGCGUCUUUGAAAUUGUGGGCCUCCUGGACAACCUCUCCCUAGCUCCCUCUAGGAAUUCCUCAUAGCCGCUGCCCCCCUCCGGGAAGCCGCUAGGAUGUGCAAGGUGGAUCUUGAAGGCAGACGCUGUCUCUACCACAAGUGCCAGUCCAUAUUCUUGCAUGGAACUGCAUGGAGUGUCUGUCACUUGGAUGAGGAUCCCCAUGCAUUCUUUUCUCCCACCAUCUGUGUUGUACAGCCUCAGAUCCUCGCCUUCUAUCCCGAAAGUCCAACUGGUGAGCUCCUCCCCCUUCUCUGCAUCCACAUUGACAGUGGCUGGAAGAAGAACGCAAUUCCUCGCCUGUUCAGAAAUGCACAACAAUUAGAGCUGACAGAUGAAAAGCUAGUAGCUGGAAAUAACGUGAGGCCACACGCCAUUCACCACUGCAUCAGAUGUCUUGAGGCUGCAUCCUAAGAUGGCGUGAGGCUACACGCCAUCUGUAACCGGACUGCACUCGAGAGCCCAAUCGGUGCAUGCCAAUGUUGCUACUGAAUGGCAUGUGGCCUCAUGCCAUUUUCUACUUGGCCUAAAAGACUUACCAUUUGAAGCCGAAUGGAGGCGUGACAACCGGACUCGCUGGCGAAUGUGCACUGUGUGUGCAGCGGAUUGUAGCAGCAAGGCUACUCUGCCACUUACAGUUGGAGAGUGGCGCUGAAAUCUCCCGGGACGCCAAGUGGGCUGCGUGUGGGUGGCGGAGUGGGCGGCGGAGUUGGCGGCGAAGUUACAAACUGGGUGUGUCUUGAAGUGGACGCCGAUGCACACGAGCGCGAUGCGAGCGCGAGUGGACGCCGAUGCACACGAGAAACCUGUAGAGAAGUGGGAGCGCGAGUGGGAGCGCGAUGCGAGCGCGAGUGGGAGCGCGAUGCGAGCGCGAGUGUGCGAGCGCGAGUACGAAGCAAAAUGCAAAACCUAACCUCACACGCGCGAAAUGUCACGACGGUUGGUAAUCCCGCCACGUCAUCAUUUCUCGGACUUGGGCGCCACCAUUAAUUUCUGGAUCGGCGCGCGCAUGCGUGAAAUCCAAAAGAAAUCCGCAACGUCAUCAUUCCUCGGACUGCAUGCACGCGAAAUCCAAAAGAAAGAUCAUGAUUGGGAUAUCAUUUAAUACCCUCGCUAUAUUUAUACCAUGCAUGAUUGGAUAUUCCAAAGCAUCUUGUAUUUCCAAAAAUGCCAGAUGUUCAGCUAAAUAAAUUGUCAGAGGAUUUGAUGUGACGUUCAAGCAUGUGGGCUCAUGCAAUUUUGAUCCCAAAAAAUGCACCAAAAAAUGCUCGGCGUCAUCUGGCGUUAUCUCUUGAAUGGCGUGGGGCCGCAUGCCAUUUUCAGGAGCACAUAGGAGUAUAUUCCUAGAAUAUUCUGACACGCGCGAGAUUGUUUUGAGUUUCCUGGAGAUCCAACCGUUAGAUCGCAACUAGAUUUUACAGAAUGGUAUACAAUGUCCUUCUUGAUGACCCUGCAAAGAAGCAUCUCGAUCGGACACCACAUGAGACCACACGAGCCUUACAAUGUUUCAGGGGCAUUUGCCAUAGAUCCGACCGUUAUUUUGCUCCAAGAUUCUACAGUUUGGUGUGCAUUGACCUUUCCAUCGACACUACAAAGGGACAUCACAAUCAGAUGCGGGAUCACAAGAAACCAACUUCACUAACUCUGGUUUCACCAAGAUCUACGUAAGGAGUUAUGAAAUGAAAGGACCCUCUCUAUUGAAAUGUGUUUAUGGUCCUAAGGGCAUUGUGACAUAUCCAAGGAUUUUGCAUCAAGUUCUGUAUUUGCAUGUUUAUCAAGCUACUGAAUUGCUAAACCCUAAACCCUAAACAUGUGGCAAAUGCUGCGUGAAGAAAGAUGCCCUUUCUGGGCAAAUGCUGUAAGAGGCAGAUGCCGAGCAGAUGUAUCUCAGGCUAGUGAAGGGGACAAACGAAAGCUAGCAACCAAAGGAAUGUAAGCAACCAAAGGAAUGUAAGUAGGGCAUGUGUUUGUAAGUUUAAAAAUGCCUCAACCACUUAAAUUCCCAAGUAAAUAAAGCUGUUUCUAUUUUUGGUACAGGUAAACUUUAUAGCGUGUGGGCUCAUGCAAUUUUGAACCAAAAAAUGCACCAAAAAAUGCUCGACUAGCAUUAUUCUUUGAAUGGCGUGUGGCCUUAUAUUGCCAUAAAUGACACAGCAUAAUUAUUCCUUUACACGGCGAAUAAUCUUGGAGCACAUAGGAGUAUAUUCCUAGAAUAUUCUGACACGCGCGAGAUUGUUUUGAGUUUCCUGGAGAUCCAACCGUUAGAUCGCAACUAGAUUUUACAGAAUGGUAUACAAUGUCCUUCUUGAUGACCCUGCAAAGAAGCAUCUCGAUCGGACACCACAUGAGACCACACGAGCCUUACAAUGUUUCAGGGGCAUUUGCCAUAGAUCCGACCGUUAUUUUGCUCCAAGAUUCUACAGUUUGGUGUGCAUUGACCUUUCCAUCGACACUGCAAAGGGACAUCACAAUCAGAUGCGGGAUCACAAGAAACCAACUUCACUAACUCUGGUUUCACCAAGAUCUACGUAAGGAGUUAUGAAAUGAAAGGACCCUCUCUAUUGAAAUGUGUUUAUGGUCCUAAGGGGAUUGUGACAUAUCCAAGGAUUUUGCAUCAAGUUCUGUAUUUGCAUGUUUAUCAAGCUACUGAAUUGCUAAACCCUAAACCCUAAACCCUAACCCUAAACAUGUGGCAAAUGCUGCGUGAAGAAAGAUGCCCUUUCUGGGCAAAUGCUGUAAGAGGCAGAUUCCGAGCAGAUGUAUCUCAGGCUAGCGAAGGGGACAAACGAAAGCUAGCUAUAAACAUGACGGGAUGCAAAUAGAUUACUAGGCUGGUCCUGCGAAAAUCAAAAACCAUAAUUGAAAACAUUGAAAAUGCAAAAAGAAAGGUUUAUAAUAUUUUUGAAUUUUAAGCAACCAAAUGAAUGUAAGUAGGGCAUGUGUUUGUAAGUUUAAAAAUGCCUCAACCACUUAAAUUCCCAAGUAAAUAAAGCUGUUUCUAUUUUUGGUACAGGUAAACUUUAUAGCGUGUGGGCUCAUGCAAUUUUGAACCCAAAAAUGCACCAAAAAAUGCUCGACUAGCAUUAUUCUUUGAAUGGCGUGUGGCCUUAUAUUGCCAUAAAUGGACGUACACACACAGCAUAAUUAUUCCUUUACACGGCGAAUAAUCUUGGCGCGGAUCGCUGACAUGGCAUGGCAAAGUUCGAAUCACUGACAUGGCACAGCUGGAUCGAGGCAAGGACAUGAUGUGACAAAGUUCAACCUCCGACAGCAAAGUCUAGAAGCUACUCAGUUUGAAAUUUGUCAGAGGAAUCAUAAGAUCUGGUUUGUCAGAGGAUUUGAUGUGACGUUCAAGCGUGUGUUAUUUUUGAAUUCUCGAACUCAUUCCUAGGUCUAUCAUUUUUGUGCGCCGUGUUCUUGGUUCCGCUGAGCGCAGUGAGCGCUGCUUGUGUAAGCGGCGUUGUGAGCUGUGGUUUAUGCGUCUACAAGCGGUUGCGGCAUUGCGAGCGCCAUUGCGAGCGGCAGUUUAUGCGAGUGGCAGUUUGUGCGAGCGGCGCUACGAGCAGUUGCGGUGUUGCGAGCGGCGCUACGAGUAGUUGCGGUGUUGCGAGCGGCACUGUCUUUGGUGUGGCUACCGCUUCCUCUUGAUAUUCGGCACUUGUGCUUCCUGGUAUGUUCACCAUGGAAUGGUUUAGGACCACAUUUAGAAAUGGCAUGAGGCCACAUGCCAUCUUGGGCCCUUGCAAUUUCAUGGCUAGCGUAUUGUCAUGUAUGUUUUUACUUGCCUGCAGCUGUGUGUAUAUCAAGAUGGCAUGAGGCCUCAUGCCAAUUUUGUGAAUGCGAAAUUUCAUGUGGGUGUCAAUAGCAUGUUUGAAUAAUGGCAUGUGGCCUCAUGCUAUUGAGGUUGUUUGGUAUGUUAUGAUUUAGGCCAUUCUCCAAUCAUUUUUUGUAUGGUCUUAACUUCUUUUCUGCACUUUCAGAAUGGCCUUCAGAGUUGGGGAAAAGGUUUACAUUUUGAAUGGUGGGAAGAGAGUUGCAAAAGGGACCCUUGUGUCUAUGGAUCGGAACUUUGUUAUACACUGUCAAAGGCUUGGGGAAGGCAAUGCUGCUGUAUCAGUAGAGACUGUCUUCGAUGGGAAUGUGGUCGCUAUUGAACGAGGAGAGAUGGUCGUCGGGGUAAAUGUUGUUGUUGCCUUGAAAAAUCUUCAGAAGAAAGCAGAUGUUGGGGACAGCGCAAGUGCGACGCAUGUUCCCUCCGUGGAUCUUAAGAACCGUGCUACAUGGAUUCAGGCAAAGGUGUUUCUAAACAACCCCGAGGGGGAGGUGGUAGCUGAGGGCUUAGCCACAGUUGUCGAUCCAAGAGAUGCGGUUGCUAAUCAAGAAUUGGGCUGGGAUGAUAUUGGAGUUGCAAUUUUAGAGGUUGUUGACACAGAAGAAAACAGUCUGACUAUUGGAAGCAUUGUGCGGUGGAAAUUGAGGCAUUUAGUGUUUGAGAAUGUGAAGGAUUCACAAUCAAACACCACUACAACUGAUGACAGAACAUCUCUUCAUGGGAAAAGAAAGUACACCUUCCUACAGCGCAGCCAAAGGGAUCUGAGCAACGAACCGAAAAGGCAGAAAAUGGCGAUGGAGGUUCGAAUGGUCUCGACAGUUGCUUGUUGCAAGAGGAGGUGCUGUCAACAUGCUGAUUGGGAUGCUAUUGAAGAGGAGAGAGCAAGAUACAAGACAUUGUCCUGGAAGGUAGCUCGCAAUUUUGUGUAUGAGGCAUUACGGUCAUCUAUUGAUGCUUCAGAACAUCAGGUGGGGGGCAUGGUCUUCCAGAGGGGUUUGGUCUGCAUGAAGGCAUGGAGAAUCAUUUAUGGAGUCCCUCGAACCACAUUCUACAGAAUCAAAACUGAGUUCGAGGAACAAAGGGUUCAACAGGCAGUCCAUGGGAACGACGGUACGCACAAAACCAGGGGUCAUGUUGUAUAUGGAGAGGCAAUCUUCAAGAGGUUUGUCGAGACAUGUAGCGAGCAGCAACCACAUAAAACCCGCCUCUUGGAAGAUGGAACACGAGACACCCAACGAGUUCUCCCUUCCAUGUAUACCAAGGGGGCCAUAUUGGAAGAUGUGAAUCGGGAACUCCAGAGUAAUGGCUACAGGAAGCUGAGCCAAUCUAGAUUUAGUAGAUUGUGGAGCAACAGGUUCAGGGAUGUGAGUAUAGGAAAGUACUCCAGCUUUUCAAAGUGUGACGAGUGCACUGCUAUCAAAAUGGCUUUGUCGAAGAAUUCUUGCAGCGCUCAAGAGCGAGAGACGUUGGUUAGAAGGCGGCUCGACCACAACAUCGAGCAGAGAAGCUGCAGGACUGCAUAUUAUCAUAAUAGGAUUCUCUCCAUGGAGAGACCUGACUCUUACCUCUGCAUCAUCCACGACAAAAUGGAUCAGAAAAAGACGUGCUUACCUCGACUCAAUCCUGCCCCCAAGGCAAUCUCUUCAUCCAUGCAGCUGCCUGUGUCUCUGUUUGGCAUAAUCGCUCAUGGGCAUGGUGCCCAGAACUAUGGGAACUUCUUUGUGCCUCUAUGGGGUGGCGGGGGUGCAAACAUGAUGAUUGCGUCCUUAGCAAAACACUUAAGGUCUCUGCAAAGUGCGCAGACUGAGCUGAACGGCCAACCCUUGCAUAAGGCCCUUGUCGAUCGAACCCCAUACAGGGUUCAGCUGGAGGAGGAGCAAAGGCUUGCAGUAUCGCGUGGGGCCCCAUGCCAUCCUAGUGAAUAUGUUGGCCGUCAGAUUGUAGGGUUAUCACGUGAGGCCUCAUGCCAUUACGACGAGGCUGGUCGCCCGGUGAAUGCACAGCCUCAUCCAAACGAAGCAGAAUCUCAAGGAAGUUCUUGCGGCCGAUGUGGCCUUCCACCCCAUCUUCUGCUCCAAACAGACAAUGCUGGCAGUGAGAACAAAAACAUGUACGUCUUCGCGUACUUGGCGAUGCUUGUUGCCAAAGGCAUAUUUGAAACGGUUACACUUGGCUUUCUCAUGGUUGGGCACACUCAUGAAGACGUCGAUGCCAUGUUCAGUCACCUGGCAGAGUCCCUCCGGCGAUCCAAUGUCCUCACCCUCCCACAACUCUACGAUGAAUUCCAAAAUUGCAUCAAAGGCACUGUUGAAGCUGCACUUGUGACAGAGGUUCCAGACUUUAAGGGGUUUGUAAGAGGCUACAUCAGGGACGGAUCCGAAACGCUGAUUGGCCACUCCAAGCCUCUUCAGUUUCAUUUCAGCAUGCGUGAUGGUGCUCCAGUGAUGAGGUACAAGAUGAGAGAAUGGGACACAGUGUGGCUGCCAGUGGAUGGCAUUGAACUCUUCAAGAGAGAUCCCAUAAUUGGGGAACCUAUGAUUCCUCAGGGUUCCCCACGGCCGAUGCACCCGGAUGGACUCAAAGACCAGGAAAGUAUAGUGGCCGGGAUUAGACAGCAUAUUGCCUUCUGGAAGAGGGGGUUGGUGUUUGGUGGAGAAUCCUAUUUUAAGAGGUGCAAGCCUUUGCUCGAAUACUGGGAGAAGAUUAUAUCUGCUAUCCAAAAUGGGCCGGUUGUAUAUGAAGAAUUGGAAGAGUCCUUUUGGCCAGAACCCAGAGCACCAGAUAGUAGCGGAACAAUGUCCUCUGGAAAUGCAGUGACAGAUAACGAUGUUGAGGAUCACUAUUGUGGGCCGAGGAACAAGAAGCCGGAUUCAGCAUUCAAUCCAGUACAGGUCUGCAAAGGAAUGGUCGUGCUUGUCAGACCCAGUAAUAAAAAACAAAUGAUAUGGGUGGGGCGCUGCAUCACUGAUGCAGAGGAGGACGCGGAAACUAACUCCUUCAAUGUAACUGUGGAGUGGUUCAAGCCAAGUUCCGGAUAUACGAAGGAUUGCCUAGAAAAGAGAUGGGUGCUGAAUCCAAGGGAUCCCAGCAUGAGCAUAUCGGUGGAUAAUGUUGUGCAUGGUUGGAUGCGGAAGCAGAGUGCCACCAUCACCUUGCCAGACCAUGCAAGAGAUGCAGCAAGAGCAUUCAUAACCCGGGUUCAAGGUGAGAUUCAUUAAUAUUCCUUUACUAAGUUUCUAAUGUAUUUUAUUUCAAGGUGAACAAUCCGAAUCUGAAUCAGAGGAGGCGUGAUGGCAUGUGGCCCUUUGCACUAGUAUAUCUUAAUACCGGUCUGAGAAAUAGAAUGGCAUGUGCCCUCAGGCCUUUUACUAAAUCACCUUUGAAAGAAAUGCAAGCCUCUAUGUCGUAAAAAAAAGGUACUAGAGAAAUUCCUUAAUAAUAUGAAUGUUAUUUAGUUUCAUGAAAAUACACUAAGGGUCAAAUGAGUUAAAUGACUUCUCCAGACUAGCAAUGCCUCUUGCUACACCUUCACAAUUAGAUUCGUUAGAAAAAGAUAACAUUGAAUAAUAUCUAAAUGUUCUCACCAUUAAGUUAUAUGUCUGGCUAAUAGGAAUGACGUUCAUCUUGGAAAGCUCACCACACGCUCAAUGAACAAACAAAUAGUGUGUGCGCGCAUGCCAUCGCUCUUCUUUAGCUUCAGAUUCGGCUUGUUCACCUUGACAAUGAGAUUUUUUAUACAACCAGAUGGACUCAGUCUGGACACAAAGUCACCGCGCUAGUCACCAUGCCCCAGAUAUGUCUAGCCCCUGGACAAAAAACAUAUAAUUUCACGUCAUUUUCAAAUACUUGAAAAUUUGUACCUAGUCCCAUUUUACUGAAUAAAUCCCACUUUAACGAAAUAGAGCUUAUGUAUGGUACAACUCCUUUUAUUCUUAUUGCCAAUCCUUAUAUCCGGUCCGAGUUCUUCCAUAUAAAACCUAAGGAUGAUGUGUAUUAUUGAUGAUCACGUUAUGGUAAUUGCCACAUAUCAUUCUUAGGAUGAUGCUCAACAUUUGUAUGAAUUUCCCACAUAUUUCCAAGGGACAACAUUGCAAUAGUACAAUGGUUUGAGUGCAAUUAUUUGUGUGGAUUGGAGCAUUCUCCUAAAUAUCUUCAAAUGUGUAUUUAGAUAUGAUGACAAUUGUGACGAUGCCUUUUGACAAUUGCAUCAUCUUUGUAAAAGGCUAUACCAUCUAAAUCAAUGCAAUUUAGAUGCAAUUUAGUAUUCAUUUUUGAAACUUUUUACUUCUUAUGGAGCAAAAUAUGUUAGAGUGGAUUAAGUUGGGAAUGUUGUGGUUAACACUUUAUUAAGAUCUUGUAAAAUUUAUGCAUGCACUUGCUUUAGCCACCUGUGAAUAAUCAAAGAGAACAACUUAAGAGACGGUCUAUGGGCUUUAAAUAUAGAGGGAAAGGGCCUAUGAAUAAGAGUGCACUCCGUUUUCCAAUCGGUUAAGGGUCUUGAUUGGGUCUGAAUAGUACUGGGCUGAGUGACCUCUUAGGAAAUCCAAAUUCAUGAGUUUACAUUUGGUGUCGGAGUGAGUUGAGUCCGACUCUAUUGGUUGACUUAGGGGAAUCACACCACAUAUUGAUAAUGACAUCUGGGGGUAGGGUGUCAAGAGAGUAGGGUUCUCGGGAGAGUUGUAGCUCUUAGCUUCCGUUCAUAAGGGCAUGAACUUAUAGGGAAACAUGGUGAAUUGUAAACAAAUAAAGAGAAUGACUUAAAAGACAAUACAUGUAUAAAGGGAAAGGGCCCAUGAAUAAAAGUGCACCCCUUUUCCAAUCAGUUAAGGUUUUAAGAUAUUUAGGGUUAAGUGUUCUUGGGUUUGAAUAGUACUAGUUUGGGUGACCUCCCAAGAAGUCCAAAUUCAGGAGCUUACACCACCCUUAACAAUGCUCUUUGCUUGAUAUAAUAUUAUGAAAUAUUGCCUUUUCCACUUUUCGCUGCAUAUCCUUCCUAUGGGAAAUGAACCUAUUCCAAUGGACUACUACUGUCCAAGUUCAAGGAUAAAGGCAAUGACGUGGUUGUGACCAUGAUGUCUGCUAUUGGGUAUGUGAUGAAGUUGGUUAAACUUAUCAACGUUGUUAGUGUUUUUUGGAAUGGCAAACUUCAUUUCCUAAAUAGAAACCUUGGCAUCAAUAAUGUUUUAUUGGUGCUCUUGCAAUAGAAGGUUUGAAUAUUGAGAUGCUUCUAGAAAAUAAAGGGUCAUACGAGUAGUGAAGGGUCCUUGUGCAAAUAAGUUAGUGCCCUCCAUUUUUCUUUCUAGAGUAUUAUCAAGGGGUUCAUUUGGCACCUAUUCAUUUAGUGUUUACUUUCCAAAUUUAUUUUUAUUCCAAAAGGUUUCCUAUUAUUUUCUCUAUGUUGAAUGAUAUAAACUCAAAUUAAUCUUCCAUUACUUAGCCUAUUGCUAGAUAUUGCCAUCUACAUUUGCAUUGUGUGGUAGAGUUAAUUUUCAAUCUUUAUGGCAAUAGCCGUACAUACGCAUGUGCUUGGGAUGAGGUAGACCUAGUUGUGCAUAUGGGCAAUCUCAAACUUGAGUUAUAGUCAUUGUAGCUAGUGAUAAGUCAAACUUUUGGCCUCAUAUUUGUUAUGGAUUAGUUGCGGCACAAGUUAAAUAUGACGUUAAGGCUUCUCCCCUUUUAAAAGUAUCAUCAAGGGGUUCACUCGGCACCUGUUUAUUUAGUGUUUAUUUUCCAAGUUUGUUUUAAUUAUAAGAGUUCUCCUAUUAUUCUCUCCAUGUUGAUUGAUAUAUACUCGAGUUUAUUUUUUAUUGCUUAGCUUGUUACUACAUAUUGCUAUUUAUAUUUACGUUAUGUGGCAGAGCUAGUUUUCAUUUUAUAUAGCAAUGGCCGUACACAUGCAUGUGCAUAGGAUGAAGUAGACUUAGUUGUGCAUUUGGGUGAUCUUGAGCUUAAAUUGCAGUCAUUAUAGGUGGUGUCAAGUCAAUUUUUUGACAUCAUCUUUGGUAUAUACUAGUUGUAGUGCAAUCAUGCCAAGUAUGACUUUGAAACUUCCUUCCCUUAUCUAAUACUUCCUUAUAUUUCUUCUAUUCUUUUCACUUCUGUUUUUCUUCAUUUUUUUAUUUUACCUUUGCUUCCAUUAGUUUUGUCUCCCUAUUACUUUCUCCUAUGUUUCUAUUUUAUUCCUUUAUUCCCUCUUUAGAUCUCUUCAACAAUCUUUGUAUUGGAGUAGUUGACUAGCUCAUAAAAGUGUAUGUUGAUCUCUUUAAAUUUGAUUUAUUAUCUAGGGCUAAGAUUGCAAUAUGUUAUCAUAUUCUAAUUAGGGAUACGUGUCCAAUUAAGGUUCCUAUUUGUCAUUAGUCACUAAAAGAGAUCAAUAUUUUACUUGGAAAUAUCAAGGAAAUAUUUAAAAGUUGUAGAGUCUUUGGGCAUAUGAACCUCAUUUUGUGAUGAAGCCUAAUAAGAGUAUUUGUUUUUGCAUUAACUAUUGUUCAUUAAACAAAGUGAUAAUCCCAAAUGUGUACCCUCUUCCUCACAUUGCUAUUAUCCUAGAUUGUAUGGGGAGAAGUUGUUAAUUUAUCAAGUUAAAUUUUCCUUUUGGGUAAUAAGUGUUGAUGGUUAAGGAAUAUAUUCCCAACACUAAUUUUUAUACACCAUUUAAUUUAUAUGAGUUCUUAGUGAUGUUAUUUGGUUUAAACAAUGCUCCAAUGAUUUUCUAUCGAAUGAUGGACGAGAUUAUGUGCGAUAUGCCAAAAGUGACUAUUAACUUCAUUGAUGAUGUCUUAAUUCAUUUGAAGGGGAUGUGAGAAGAACACAUUUGUGAUGUUUAUAAGGUAUUUGAUGGGCAAGAAGUUGUUUUAAAGAUAAAGUGAUCAAAGUGAGUGUUUUAGGUCUAAGUCCAUUUGGAGAAGAUCAUUACUGUGUAAAAGAUUUGAGUGUCUUGCAGUAUAUCCCAGAUACAAUAUUCUAUGCAUUAAGUUCCCUACUCCAAAGUGUGUGAAUGACAUGUAAUGCUUCUUAGGCAAGGAUGUAUAGUGUGUAUUACAAUAUCUUGGCCAUUUCGUUAAGCAUCUUUUUUAUUGUAUUGCACCAUUGAAAGCAUAGUGUAAACGAUUAAAUUUUCCAUUCUACUUUAAUCAUUUAACCACACUUUUGACCAUUUGGAGGAGUCUUAUCACAACCUUUAUAAAUCCUAUUCUGGACUUGAGGACUUGCUAACCUCGAGAAUGGUAUCCAUGCCACUCAACCUUUGCAUUUGAUCUAAGUGCUUCAUGUGUUUGAUCCCAUGACUGAUACCCAAAAGUACCAUUGGCAUAUUAGCCCAUUAUGCUAAAGCCAUACCCAUUCACCUUUAUCACAUCGAUGAUCUAACACCAUCUACAUCACUAUCCUGUUUCUCAAAAAUUGGCCAUCCAUCUAUAAGCGAUCAUCCUAGAUUCCCUCUUUAGCAUCUUUAAGAUGCCUGUAGACAUGGGGAACAACCUUCUUUAGUAUCCCUUUUUUGAUCCCCAUCAAGUCCCUUUUUGUCUACGGCUAUGUUCGCCAACAUUGCCACUAAGUCAAGGCCCACAGACUCGACCCCUAGGGACUUCCUCACCAUAUGAUUGUAUCUUUAGUCUCUACACUAGAGAACUACUCUUUUUCCUUUCCACAGUCUGGGACUUUAGGACAACAUUUUGGAACACCGUGGCCUUAUGCAAACCUUAUAAGUACUUUCCCCACCUUCCACCUUUGGGUGCUCUAGCCAUAUGACUAAAGCGAGGUUCUAAUGAGCUGCAUUAGGUAUCCAAGUAGGUAGUGCCACCCACACUUGGAUUGUGUGAGACACAAAUCCCUAAUCCCCAAAAUGGAGCCAAAAGGGUGCCACGUGGUAGUGGCCAAAGUGAAAGCCAAAUGAGCAUAACACAUUUGGACUAAAAGCUUUGACUUGAAAGGUCGAGAGUGGGAGUGGAACCCCCAACAAAGUGCUCAAGGAACAAGCACCAAAAGAGCAAUAAGUGAGUCUCUAAAAAAGGGACAUAAGAGGACCAACACAUGAGACGUGGAAGAGUCCAAGAUGGACUUGAGAUGGAAUCUAAGAUGGUCCGAGAUAGAUUCGAGAUGGAGUUUGAGAUGGACCCGAGAUGGAGUCUGAGAUGGACCCAAGAUGGACCCCAACUAGAGUCCAAGAUGAAGUCUGAGAUGGACUCGAGAUGGAUUCCGAGAUGGACCCGAGAUAGAGUCUGAGAUGGACUCGAGAUGGAUUCCGAGAUGGACCCGAGAUAGAGUCUGAGAUGGACCCGAGAUAGAGUCCGAGAUGGACCCGAGAUGGAGUCCGAGAUGGACCCGAGAUGGAGUUCGAGAUGGACCCAAGAUGGAGUCCGAGAUGGAGUCCAAGAUGGACCCGAGAUGGAAUCCAAGAUGGAGUCUGAAAAGGAUCCGAGACAGAGUUCGAGGUCGAGACCGAGACUGGGACCGGGACCGAGACCAAGGCCAAGACCUAGGCCGAGACCUAGGCUGAGGCCGAGUUUGAGUCCGAGUCCGAGUCUGAGUCCAAGUUCGAGUCCAAGGGUGAAAGCCUAAAGUGUUCGUCUCCCAGACCCUAGGGGGUUUGGUGAGCUCCAAAAGUAUAGUAGCGGGGAAAACUCCAAUAGAGCCAGUUUGGCCCAAGAAGGCUAUACCCAAGUGUUGGUUGAUGGGAUAACCAUUGGGAAGUCCAAGGCUAGAGUGAAUACGGAUUGAUAAGCGGGGUAGCUUGGUGAAGUGUUCAAGAACUAGCUCUAGUUCCCCCGGGAGAUCGAAUAGCCCAUGCUCCCAAUCCAAGUGUGGGUGGCACUACCUACUUGGAUACCUAGUGUGGCUCAAUGGAACCUUGCUCUAAGCCCAUGGCUAGAGCACCCAAAGCCGGAGGUGGGAAGAGUGCCCAUGAGGCUUGUGUAGGGCCACGGUGUUCCGAAAUGUUGUCCCAAAGUCCUAGACUAUGGAAAGAAAGAGGAGUGGCCCUCUGGUGUAAUGACCAAUGAUACAGUCAUAUGGUGAGGAAAUCCCAGAGGACAGUGGGACUUAAUGGUCGGGCCUGUGGGCUUUAUCAUAGGGGCAGUGUUGGCAAACACGGCUAUAAACAGAAAAGGGACUUGGUAAUAACUAUAAAAGGGAUAUUGGGGAAGGCUAUUCCUUAUAUUUGCGGACAUCUUAAGGAUGUUAAGGAGUGGACCUAGGAUGGUCACUCAUGGAUGGAUGGCCUAGUUUUUGAGAGACGAGAUUGCAAUGUAGGUGGUGUUGGACCACUAGUGUGACCAAGGUGAAUGGGCAUAACGUUAGCAUAACAAGCAAGUAUGUUGGUGGUACCUUGGGGUGUCGGUCAUGGGAUUGGACAUAUGGAGCACUUGGACCAAGUGCAAUGGUUGUAAGUCCAGAAUAGGACUUAUAGAGGUUGUGAGUGAAACUCCUCCAAGUGGUUGAAUGUGUGGUUAAGUGACUAAAUAGAAUGGAAAAAUUAAUCAUUUACAGAUUGGGAGUGUCAACCAUUCGAUCUCCUAGAGGAGCUAAAGCCGACUCUUCAAUACUUCACCAAACUAUUCUGUUUAUCUGUCUAUAUUCACUCUAACCUUGGACUCCUCAAUGGUUAUAUCAUCACCCAACACAUGGAUAUAACCUUCCUUAGUCACACUAGCCUUUCCAAGCCAAAUUGGCUCCACAAGAGUCCUUCCCCUACUAUACUUUUGGAGUUCACCAAACCCCCAAAAGAUGAACACUUUGGGCUUUCAUCUUCGAAUUCGGAUUACUCUCAAUCUCGGUCUCAAUCUUGACUUUAGACUCUAUCUCAGGUCCAUCUCCGACUUGACCUCAGACUCCAUCUCGGGUCCAUCUCAAACUCCAUCUUGUAUCCAUCUCAAAUUCCAUCUCGGACUCCAUAUCAAAUCCAUUUCGAACUUUAUCUUAGAUCUAUAUUGAACUCCAUCUCAGACUCCAUCUUGGAUUGCUUUGUAAGCCACAAAUUUUUCUUUUCCACUUUGCCAGCUUACCUCGCCUAUCCGUCCAACACUGCCUUGGCUUUUGCUAAGUUCCCUCGCCAAGGUUCCCGCCUAUGGUACCAGCUCCUACUUGGUUUCAGCUACUCACUGCACGAGUAACGGAGUGUUAGCCAUCCUUCCAUGGAUUCCCAAAUCACUCCCAAUCCCCCUCCCCGGGUUAGACUGGACUUAAGGUUCGGCUACACUCCCCGCAAGCACAAGCAGCCAAUCACACCAAGCUUCCAGGUUCCUAACAUCCCUUGGUACCACAAGACUUGAUCAUGGGACCCUCUAAAUCCCAAGUCUUGAGUGCAACACUUGCUUCGGGACGCCGGGGCGAAACACCGUGGCCUAGCAGCUCGGUAUGGGUACCUCUCGCCCCCCACUUCCAUCCCGAAGGAAGGCCCAAGCCCCUAGGAAGGGCGAGGACCAAUGAGCCGCAUGGUACUCAAGUGGGGCACCACUCCACAUGAGCCGGGAGCACCGCAAUCAGUUUCCCUUUCGGGAGUGGGAGCUGCUCUUGAGCACUUCCUUGGAUGGCCCCUCCGGCACCAGCCAAGUCCAUGCUCACUCCCACCCAAGGCCCCUCGGUCCCAGUCCCAACCUCAAGUCGGUUUGGAAGCCCAACUGGAGAGUCCCUUCAAAACUGGUUCCUGGACCUCACUAUCCCUGCUAUACUUUUGGAACCCCCUGCAGCCCCCCCCCCCCCCCCUGGGACACGCACGCUUUGGGCUUUCACCCCUUGACCCGUAUUAGUAUUUGGACUUAGUCUCUGGCUCGAUCUCGGACCCGAUUUCGGAUCCGACUUCGGAUUCGGGUUCGGACUCGAUCACGGACUCGAUCUCGGACCCGAUCUCGGACCCGACCUCGGACCCGAUCUCGGACCCGACCUCGGACUCGACCUCGGACUCGGUCUCGGACCCGAUUUCGGAUCCGGACUCCGUCUCGAACUCGGUCUCGAACUCGGACUCGAACUCGGUCCCCGAGUCGGUCUCGGACUCGAUUCCGGACUCUAUCUCGAACUCGGUCCUAGAGUCGGUCUUGGACUCGAUCCUCGACUUGGUCCCAUCCGAUGAACUCUUUGUCACUUCGGUCAAGCUUUUGGGGAUCCUUUAGCCUACGACAUCUCGGGGAGUCGGUUCCUUACAACUCCACCACCCAUAGAAGAAGUUCGAUGCCCACAUCGAACGUCUCGUUUUAUCCUACGACUUGUUGUCCAUGUCUCCGGGGGCAUCCCCCCACUUAGCGGUGUGCCUAAGUUAGCCUCCCCGGCCAAGAGCCCAUGACAACGGAAUAUAGGUGUCCCUAUACUCCUCACCUCACCACGCCCUAGUAUAGGGUCGGGACUUGAACCCAGCCUUGCUUUACUAGGGGGUUGGGACUCGAACCCAACCUCCGUAGAAUACGUCUACGGAUUCGACAUCCCCGCAGGGAGUCGGGCGUAGUGCCCUACGCCUGGUCGACCUAUCCAACCCAUGCUAAUUAGCUUACCUUUGGCGCGCCUUCGGGUCCCAACAUAUGCCAUUUGCUCAACUUUGCAAAUUGAUAUUUUUAAUUGAAUUUUGCAUAAGUACAUAAAGUUCUGCCUUGCAGAAAUUCCUCCACUAGAUCUCGUGCGUUCGCUAGGUUCUCCUCCGGUUCCCAUGUUACUUCGCAGUGUGGAAAUCCUUUCCACUUCACAUGGAACUCUCUCACCUUGCGUCCUUGUCGCUUGCUCUUGCGCGCAUUGAGGAUGGCCUCGACUUCGUAUUCCUCUUCCCCUUGGAUAACCUCAGGUAAAGGUCUCACUUGGUCCUUGCGAAGCGGAUCCUCAAAGUACGGCUUGAGUAAGUUCACGUGGAACACUAGGUGCAUCUUCCCCAUCUCUCGAGGAAGUCGGAGUCGGUAAGCCACUUUACCGAUUCGUGCCUCAAUUUCAUAAGGCCCCGUGAACCUGCUUAAGGAACUCAAGAUCAAUUCAUUUACAGGAAUACAUGCGUCUUUACCUUUGGGUCAACUUUCGGCUGAUCCAGCUUGGUAGUCUGAGGUUCUUGGUGUUCAGCCACACCUUCUCCCCAGCUUGGAACUCCACAUCCCGACGCUUUUGGUUCGCGUACUUAGUUUGCCUUUGUUGAGCCCGUUCCAAGGAAUCCCUCACUAGAUUCCAAAUGUUGAGUCUUUCCGCCGUGAAUGCCUCCACUGCGGGUAACUCUCCAUGAUACUCGGCCACGCCGAGUUCCACAGGACCUUCAAUAGCUCGCCCAUUGAUGACUUCCCAUGGACUCACCCCGAUGCUUGAGUGUGGUGAGUUGUUAUAACACAUUUCCGCAAGUCCCAAAUGACUUACCCAGUCGGUCUGGUCUCCCGAGACAUAGCAUCGCAAAUAAUCCUCCAGCUGCCUAUUCACCCUUUCCGUUUGUCCGUCUGUCAAGAAGUGUUAGUGCCAUCAAUCUUGACUUAAUACCCAUUACCUGUCUGUGGGUGAUAGGCUGUGCUGAAUUUCAAUUUGGUGCGAUACUGUUCUAGGAGUGUCCUCCAGAACCUACUAGUGAAGAUCUUAUCUCGAUCUGAGAUAAUCUCUUCCGGCCUUCCCCACACUCGAACCACUUGUUCAAAGAACAGCUUCGCCACACCUUCCGCAUCCACGUCCGUUGUGGUGGGUAUGAAAUGUGCCAUCUUUGAAAAUCGGUCCACCACCAUGAAUAUCGCAUCGAACCCCUCGCUUGGGGGUAGUCCCGUGAUGAAGUCCAUCGUAAGACAUUUCCACGGGCGAUCUGGAAUUGGGAUGCUUUACAACAAGCCCCCACUAGCCUUAGUCACGGCUUUGACCUGCUGACAUGUUGGACAUGUCUUUACAUAGUCUUGGACGUCCUUAGCCAUAUCUGGCCAAUGGUACUUCCUCUUGAGUAAGCCCAUCGUCUUGGGCACUCCGCCGUGUCCCGCAAGAGGUCCGUCAUGACACUCUUCUAAGGCCACUUUCCUUAGUUCCCCUUCUGGAACAUACACCCUCGUUUGCUUGUAAUAAAUGAGUCCGUUGCGUUCCGCAUAGCCCGUUUUCUCUUCCGUUGGCGGCUCACCUCUCUGGUGAGCUUCCCACGCCUCUAGAUUCCUCAGCAACACUUCUUGUGCUAGACCAUCGUUCUCAUAUGCUGUCCGCACAUUGUCCCAGAAGGUUGCUGUUGCGCUGGAUAUUGCCAACUUCAAGCUCGCUUUUCGACUUAGCGCAUCCGCCACGAUGUUGCUCUUCCCAGGCUUGUACAGAAUUUCGCAAUCAAACUCGGCCAAAGCAUUAGCCCACCGACCUUGUUUCCCUCUUAGGUCGGGCUGUGACAAGAAGUGUUUCGUUGCCACAUUGUCCGUGUAAACCUUGAAGUGUCUCCCAAGGUAGUGUCGCCACUCCUUGAGUGCCUUGACCACCGCAAACAAUUCCUUCUCAUGGGCAGGCCACUUCCGUUGAGCCUUGUCCAGCUUCUUCGAGAAGAACGCUACCGGAUGGUUGUCUUGCUUCAGAACUGCGCCCAACGCAAAGUCCGAAGCAUCCGUUUCUACCUCAAAGUCCUUACCAAAGUCUGGCAAUGCCAAUACGGGAGCCUUCCUCAACUUCCCUUUGAGGUGGACAAAUGCCGCCUCGCAUUCUACUGUCCAUACCAUCUUCCCUUUUCCUGUUUGGUCCGUUAAGGGCAGGGCUACUCUCGAAUAGUGUCUGAUAAACUUUCGAUAGUAGUUGCAUAGCCCCAGGAACGCCCUCAACUCAUGUACAUUCGAUGGUCGCUCCCAUUCCUGGAUCGCUUGGACCUUCUCCGGGUCCACCUUGAGCCCGUCCUGGCCCACCACAUGCCCGAGAAACUUUACCUCUUGUUGAGCAAAGUCACAUUUGCUCUCUUUAGCAUACAGCUUGUGUUCCCUUAGUUUCUCAAACACCUUCGCCAAGUGUUCGGCAUGCUCUUCUAGCGUCUCGCUAUAGAUCAGGAUGUCGUCGAUAUAGACGACCACGAAGUGAUCCAGAUAGGGUACAAAGACAUGGUUCAUUAGCGCCGAAAACGUUGCCGGCGCAUUACAUAGCCCGAAGGGCAUCACCAGAAACUCAAAGCUCCCAUACCUCGUUCGACAGGUUGUCUUCUCGACAUCUUCCUCGGCUACCCUGAUCUGGUAGUAUCCUGACCUUAGGUCAAUCCUCGAGAAGUAUUUUGCCUUUCCCAACCUAUCGAACAGGUCCUCAAUCCUUGGCAAAGGGUACUUGUUCUUCUUUGUAUACUUGUUGAGCAAGCGGUAGUCUAUGCACAUGCGCAUAGAUCCAUCUUUCUUUUUCACAAAUAACACCGGCGCCCCAUACGGCAACUUGCUCAACCUAACAUACCCUUUGUCCACCAACUCCUCUAGUUGGCACUUGAGCUCCUUGAGUUCUUUUUCGUUCAAACGAUAAGGGGGACGAACCACUGCCUCAGCACCCUCGACCAGCUCAAUCUUAUGUUCUAUCGGUCGUGCUGGGGGCAGCCCCGCCGGUAGCUCCUCCGGCAUGGUAUCCUGGAAUUGGUCCAACACCCGCUGGAUCACUAAAGGCACUUCUUCCGUUCUUGUCUUUUUGUCACUCUUCACCGAGAGUAAGCACAAAAAGGCUGCCUUAGUUCCUUUAGUGAGUUGUCCUCUCGUGGACACCAGGUUUAAGCAGGAUUCUUUGGCCUUGCUUUGCCCUACCUUUAGAUCCUGGGCUUCCACCCUAGAUCUUCUUCCUUGGGCAUUCGCCAGUACCACAAGGUUCCUACCUUGUCCAUGUAGGGCUACCACGAACCGAUUGAACCAAUCCAUUCCGAAGAUCACGUCAAAUCCCGCCAUGUCCAACACGGUGAAAUCCAUGUCUACCUUCCAUGUCCCUACUUCGACUUUCGCUUGUCGAAGUACCUCAUCGGUGCUUUGGCUACCUUGAACAAACUCUAUAGUCCUUGGUUCGCCUAGCCGCUGCACCGUUAGUCCGGCUUGCCGGACUAUGUCUGCAGCCACAAAAUUAUCCGAAGCACCCGUGUCAAUAAGGAUCUUAACAAAGCUACCUCCGAGCUUCCCUCGGAGGGCUAGUAGAUGUCGCGAACGACUCUCUACCAAAGUUGCUCGUGUAAUGAGUAACUUUGAGUUAGGGACUGGAUCACAUACCUCAUUUUGGACUUCGCCCGACUUGAUGGCCAUAUUGGCUCUGGCCUUCUUCGGGUAGGGACAUUCCCUCGAAAAGUGUCCCGCUUCACCGCAGUUAUAGCAUACGUUGUUUCCCACGCUGCUAUAUGACUUGACCUUCUUAUCCGUGGGUUUGUCUCUUUUCGCUUGACUCCCCCACGUACUUGCUCGCUGGCCACCGGAUUUGCCUUUCCGAAAUCCCGAGGACUCAUUCUUAGAGAAACUCUUCUUGAAUUUCCCCCUGCUAUAUGUUCCCCUCGGUUUGGCCCCUUUGUGAAACGUGGAUCCCGACCCCGUCGUGUUCCCCUUUCGCAGGUUAUCGUUGAAAUGCACCUUGAUGGCCGCAUCCAACGCUUCCUUGUAGUUGGUCGGGUUCCAGCGCAUCACCUCACCGCGAGCCCAGGUUUGCAAACCUGAUAUAAACGCAUGGAACGCAUCCAUAUCCCCCAUGUCCGUGACAAGUAUCCUCUUUGCCAUGAACCCAUUCACAUAUUCCUGGAUGGUUCCAGUCUGCUUCAGCCUACUCAGCUCAUCUCUCAGAUGCAGAGUGGCAUUCGGAGGAACGUAUGUCGCGCGGAUCCUCGCCUUCAUCAUGUCCCAGGUGGCCACCGGUCCUUCGUUGGCCUCCGUUGUUCUCCACCAAGACUUGGCAUUAUCUGCCAAGUAUGGUUUUGCACAUGGGACCUUCUCCGAGCUCGGUAACCGUAACGCUCGGAAGUAGUCCUCCAUAUCGUAAAACCAAUCCUCCACAACCUUAUAGUCGUUCACUCCCUUGAACACCGGUGGGGGCUUUGGUUUGUACUUGGGAACUGCCUGAGGGACUGAUUCCACUUCGGUCUGUUCGACCUUGUCUGGUUUUGCCUCAGUCCCUGCCGAAGGGUCCGCACCUUCUGCGCUGCCAGCAAUCCGCCUCUAUCCUUCGCUAGAACUGAGGAGAAGGCUCCGAUACCAAAUUGUAAGCCACAAAUUUUUCCUUUCCACUUUGCCAGCUUACCUCGCCUAUCCGUCCAACACUGCCUUGGCUUUUGCUAAGUUCCCUCGCCAAGGUUCUCGCCUAUGGUACCAGCUCCUACUUGGUUUCAGCUACUCACUGCACGAGCAAUGGAGUGUUAGCCAUCCUUCCAUGGAUUCCCAAAUCACUCCCAAUCCCCCUCCCCGGGUUAGACUGGACUUAAGGUUCGGCUACACUCCCCGCAAGCACAAGCAGCCAAUCACACCAAGCUUCCAGGUUCCUAACAUCCCUUGGCACCACAAGACUUGAUCAUGGGACCCUCUAAAUCCCAAGUCUUGAGUGCAACACUUGCUUCGGGACGCCGGGGCGAAACACCGUGGCCUAGCGGCCCGGUAUGGGUACCUCUCGCCCCCCACUUCCAUCCCGAAGGAAGGCCCAAGCCCUUAGGAAGGGCGAGGACCAAUGAGCCGCAUGGUACUCAAGUGGGGCACCACUCCACAUGAGCCGGGAGCACCGCAAUCGGUUUCCCUUUCGGGAGUGGGAGCUGCUCUUGAGCACUUCCUUGGAUGGCCCCUCCGGCACCAGCCAAGUCCAUGCUCACUCCCACCCAAGGCCCCUCGGUCCCAGUCCCAACCUCAAGUCGGUUUGGAAGCCCAACUGGAGAGUCCCUUCAAAACUGGUUCCUGGACCUCACUAUCCCUACUAUACUUUUGGAACCCCCUGCAGCCCCCCCGCCCCCUGGGAGACGCACGCUUUGGGCUUUCACCCCUUGACCCGUAUUAGUAUUUGGACUUAGUCUCUGGCUCGAUCUCGGACCCGAUUUCGGAUCCGACUUCGGAUUCGGGUUCGGACUCGAUCACGGACUCGAUCUCGGACCCGAUCUCGGACCCGACCUCGGACUCGACCUCGGACUCGGUCUCGGACCCGAUUUCGGAUCUCGGACUCCGUCUCGAACUCGGUCUCGAACUCGGACUCGAACUCGGUCCCCGAGUCGGUCUCGGACUCGAUUCCGGACUCUAUCUCGAACUCGGUCCUAGAGUCGGUCUUGGACUCGAUCCUCGACUUGGUCCCAUCCGAUGAACUCUUUGUCACUUCGGUCAAGCUUUUGGGGAUCCUUUAGCCUACGACAUCUCGGGGAGUCGGUUCCUUACAUGCUUCUCGAACUCCAUCUUGGAGUCCUUCUCAAACUCUUUUUUAAACUCUAUUUCAGACUCCUUUUUGGACUCAUUCUUGACACUUCUUAUGUAUCAAUCCUUUUUAUAUCCCUUUUUAAAGAUUUAUUCAUCAAUUACUUUGUGCUCAUCCCUCAAGCACUUCAUUUGGAGUUCUACUCCUACUCUCGACUUUCCAAGUUGGAGCUUUUGGUCUAAACAUGUUAUGCUUGUUGAAUUUCUACUUCGACCAUUAUCACGUGGAACCUUUUCAAUUCCACUUUGGGGCUUAAGGAUUUGUGUUUCACACAUUGUUGUGCUUUUUGAGAUCUAUAAAUGCUCGCUCACAAUCCAUGUACCAAAUGAAAGAUAAUGUUGACAAUUUGACUCCUUCAAUUUUAGUGUACCCUAAUUCCAUUUAACCUUUAAUUUUGCAUAUGGAUGCUUGUGAUAUUGGUCUUGGAGGUGUGUUGAUGCAAAAAAUCUUAAGUGUGUUUAGUCAGCACUAUCCCAUUGCAUAUAUUAGUCAUACAUUAUAACUAGUAAAGGUGGAGGUGAACUAUUCCACAACAGAGAAUGAGUGUUUAGUAGUAGUUUGGGGUUUUGAGAAACUUUAUGCAUGAAGGUGAUCAUGUUGCAAUUACUUUGUUAUUGAAAUAAAAGUACUUAGUUGGUCAUAUUGCUUAGUGGGAUUUGAAGCUUUAAAUAUAUAAUUUUGAUGUUAUUCAUUGCCUAGGGAGUUUUAUGGCUAAUGUUAAUGCCCUUUCUCAAACUCUUCUUCCUUCUUUACCUCUUUUUAUGUUUCUAACAAACUUGUUAUUCCAACAUUUGUGGUGUUUUUGGACAAGAAUUCCAUACCAUCAAUACUUGUUGUACUUGAUGUUUAAUAUCCACAAGGUGUGGAGCAAGAUUCACAUUCUUUUGAUGAGGUUCAUAAGGCUCAAAAGGUUGAGUUGUGAAUCGCAAAGCUUUAGGAUUAAAAAUCUUGCAUCACUUGUUAAUAAUUUACCAUUUUAGCAUUUACAUUCUCAAUAUUGCCUUAAGAAUGACGUUAUUUAUUUUGUGGGGAUAGAUUUUGAUGAUCAUUUAUGACUAAUGAUGCCUUUGAUCUUUAUUCCAUGUUUUCUCUACACCUACUAUUAUUUUUCUAUUUUAGGCGAGUAUAUAUGUGACUAAGAAAUUUCAUAGAUCUUUGUAUUGGACUUUAGUAUGUCUGUAGCUGCAUUUGUUGCCAAAUUCGUAAUACUCCUUCUCAUGCUGCAAAAGGAGAAUUAGAGUUAAUUACAGUUUCUCAUAUAUUUGAGCUGGUGAUAUUUAAUCUGAUAAAGGGAUUUUUUAGGGUGGAUUGUUAGCAAUGAGUAUAUUAUUAUUGCUUUUGACUAUUUGACUCACUAGAUAGAAGUCUGUGCUUUUGCUAGUGCAUCUACAACUGUUGUUGGAUACUUCCUUCUUAAUUUAGUGGUGUUUCAAUACUUUUGUCUAGAGUGAAUUCUUUUGGAUAAUGAUCCCGCAUUUAUGGCUGAAGUAUUUCAUGUUUUAACGUCUUAGUUGGGGAUACAUCACACUUUCAUGAGUGCUUAUCAUCCAUAGUCAUAUGACUUGAUGGGACAGCUUGUUUGGACCUUCAAAGGGAUGAUUGUAAAAUACAUGAACUUUCAGUAUUUGGAUUGAGAUGGUUAUUUACCGUCUCUUUAGUAUGCAUAUAUCACAGAGGUGUAGAGUUCUAUUAUUGCUUUACCAUAUAAACUUUUAUGUAAUCAUGAUCUAAUAUUACCAACGGAGUUGAGUUUACCUUCACGAUUGCCAUGAGCUACUGACGUUAAAUCUUAGGAUUAGUAUUUAACAAACAUUCUUCCACUGGUCUGGAUAGAGUUUACUAAACACUUCAGCCACAUACAAGUGGGACAACAGUGACAGUAUAACUCCCAUCAUUGUCCAUUUGUGGAGUAUAAAGUGGAUGUUGAGCAAAAAACCCUUUAAAUAAACCACAUACUGUAAGAUUGGGAAAACAGACUAAUAUUAACUUGUUUGAUUGAGGUGCAUCAAUGAAGCUGUGGCGGCAUCAUCUGUGGCUGAAAUAUGUGAAAUAGAAGAAAUUGUAUCAUGUGUUGGGGCAAAUUGGACUGCAAGUUUAUAAGGUUUAGCAUAAUAUUUAAUAAAUAAAAAUUGUGCAUAUAUAAUGGUUAAAAUACUUUAUACAAAGGGAUAAAGAACAAUUAACACCAUUUAUAGAUCCACUAAUGCUUCUUCCUAAUGUUCCUUUAGAUCCUGGCCCAUCCAUUAGAGAGCCCUAAUUGUCUUUUAUCAUUGGGGAUGAUAUGUGGUCCAAGUGUAUGGUUACAAUGCCAUAUACUAAUACUAGAAUAAUGGGAUUUUGAGAACUAUUAAAUUGAUUUCAAUUUAGACUAUUCACUUUUAUAUAUAAGUUUUUGGGCUAAUUGAUAUACAUUUUUGUAUUCCAUUUCCAUAUUCCAUGCACUCAUAAUUUGUAUAUAGUAUUAUAAUAUGUGUAUAUAAUUAUUAUUUAUUUAAAAAUAAGUCUUCAUAGUUUUAUGUUUUUACUCCUUACAAAAAUGGUAAGGUAGAUAUCAUAUUUGACACUUGUAUAAUUAUUUAAUUAGUAAUUUUUUCUCUUUUUAUCUAUUUGAUAAAAUUGUCAUGCUGCUUUUAUUGUUAUUCUUGUUACCUCUUUAGCUUCAUCCUAAUUAAUUUUAAUAUAUAUAUUCAAUUGGUCUGUAUAAUAUAUACUUUUUAGUGUUUGUGCUCUUGAUAAUGUUAUAUAUGCUUGUCUUGGAUUUUUUGUUUUAUAUGGGUUAUAUCCUAAUUUUUUCUUAUUGAUCCUAUUUAUUGUUCUUCUUACAUAUGUGGUUGUAGUGGAAAUUGUGUUUUACUUAUAACAUGAUUUUGAUUUUACUUGUUUUUAAUAUUCUUGUUAUUUUUCUUACUGUAUCCAUGUUUUUUUUAUUAUUUUGAUGUACUAUUAUAUGUCUGGUGUAUGGAGACAUCAUUUUUGGGUCAACAUAUUUUUAUUGUGUAAAUUGGUGCUUUUGCUUCAAAUAUAGGAUUUAUUUGAUAAAAACAUGCUAAUCCAUCCCACCAAUGUCUACUGCAAAUGUUGGUUUGAAGCUUUCCCAUGUUCUCUUUAUAUCCUAUACCAUAUUUCUAAGCAUUUUAUUGUUGAAAAUCAUGUUUGGUAUUUUUCUAACAUGUUAUUUGUUAAUAUUAUUUGAUAUUGUUUUGAUGUUUCUGGUCAAAAUGCAAAAGCUGAAUAGAUUUUUGAUCCAUUUAUAUUAUAAACUACUUUUCUUGUAUAUUAAUAUUGUUUCAUUAUUUAUAUUUUGGUUUAUUUUAUAAUAUCAUUUGAGUGUCACAAAUCUGUUUCUAUAGUGUAUUUAUAAGUAUUUAUUUUUGAAUUGCACAGUUUAAUUUUUCUUUUAACUAGGAGAGAGGAAACACAUAUUGGUUUGCCAAAGCUUCUCUAAUGCAGCUGCACUGAGGUGUAGGACCACUUAAUAUCCAUCUAUACAGAACCAAAUUGUGUCAUCUAAACAAAACAAUUUGGCCACUAAAUGCAAAGCAAGACUCCUUGGCUGACACAAAGUUCCCAUUCUGAGCUCUCCUGUAACACUGGUUUUCUGCCCUAAUUUGCCCAACCACUAUUUGGUAUUGAAUGGUGUUUUUGGGUUGUAAUUGGGAGCAAGCAAUUUGCACACAGAUAGUGAGGUAUCGGUUCUAGGCACAAUCAAGAGAAAAUUGAGUUAUUGUUUUUGCCAUAGCAUGCACAAAGUCAGGGAAGGCUCAAACCCAUAUUUAAUGUUAAUUUGGCAUUGGCUGCUGCCACUUUUUUAUCAUUUCAAGUGUGUUGUGAGUGAAUACAUUAUUUAUAGAUCUCCAAGAGGUUGAAUUUUCUUGCAGUGAUCUCCAUAUUUCUGUGGAAGAGAGCUUUAUAAAUCUCAAUCAUAUUAUCUCAUGGCCAAUUUUAGAGAGACCUCAAGCUUGAACAGCUUAUUUGAUGAAAUUGCAUGAUCUAGUUGAUAACAUAUUGUCCAAUAAUCUUCCAAAAGUAUAAAUGACAAUGAGGACACAGAUUAAUAAUGUUAACAUGGUAUAUGUUCUUUUGAAAAAGGGAUUUCUAAAAAGGUUUUAGCAUCCAAAUCUAGACUUAGAUCAAUGUGCAAAAUGAGCGAAUUACGUGUUUAAGGAAUUCUUAUAAGUGAUUAAUAAUGUAUAUCUUUAAAUAUUUAAGUAUUUUUAAUGUAUAUUCUAAAUAUACACUGAUGUGCCAGAUUGAAAAGAACCCUUGGAUUGCAGAGCAGGUGAGGUAUCACUUGAUUGACUAGGACUUUUACAUAGGGAGAUUUGCAAGCCUCCACAACAAGCAGAUAAAUAUCGGAAUGGAUCUGUAGGCAAGAAGCUUCUCCACUGUGCACAUGGAUUUCGACAUGAAAUCCGUUUUGGCCGCACGAACGCUUCCUGCUGAGGAAAUGUGCAACGAGGUUGGGGAAGAUUCGUUAGAGGAUAUGACAAGGCUCUUAUAGUCCAGAAGAAGUUGCAAUGUUCUAUGGUUGAUGCACUAUGUUGCGGAGUAUAGCUAUCGGUUGAUUGACCAAGACUGUUAAGUAGGGAGCUUUACUUUAGAAAGCUGGAGGAGCAGCAAGAGGAUCCUGCAAUGAUUGAUUGGGCAAACAAUUGCAUUGGCAAAGCGAUCAUCGGGUACAACCGUUGCAGAAUGAUUGUAAGGAUGCUCGAGCAUCAGCCCCAUAGUAUGUGGCCUCGAUUAUCUCCACGUUUAUGCAUUUCAAAGGACUCCUGAUACAGGUAAAGACUCGCUUCGCUUAUUUAAUUUAGACGGGUGUGACUAAGUUGCUUCCAUGGAUGUUCAGGCACAAUCGGUGUCACACUGGAAUGGCAAUACUAAGUAUCGUGUUGCUGUGGCAAUGGUCUAGGCCUCUAGAUUAUAAAGUUCUAGAGGAAAACAUCUCUUAAUCUCAUAUAAAUGUGGUGUGGACUUGUGGAACACAUUCUCACCAUAAACAAAGUUUCUUUUCACAAGCAUCUGAUUUACCAGCGGUGGAAAAACUAUAUGCCAUUCUUCCAAGUGUCUUAGAAGAAUACUUCCCCCUAGGUUCCGCAGAUCUUGAUUCCAUGACUGGUUAAGAUCACUUCCACUUUCUGAUGCAGGCAGUGACGGAAAAAAAAGAGCAAGAAGUUGGUGUCGUCAAGAAAUGAGGGAUCAAUUCUUCAACACGCGCGUCAAAACCAUUGGUGUUGAAUCGCUAUAGUCAGAUGUAUAUCCCUUUAUAUUCUGGGGAAGUUUGAUUGUGUACCUGUACAAGGCUUCACUAUACAGUGGAACUUUCUCAGCGAGGCCUGAUUCCUCUAGGUCCUCGUUUCGAGCCUCUUUUACCGGGUGGUAGGAAACCAUAGUCGACUGCUAACUGGUCCUCCUCCUCUAGCGUGAGCUUCCUACCAGUCGAGUGGGAUUGUUUCCCCAUGUAAUUCACCCAGUUCUCGGCCAUCGCAUCUUUGUCGGGAAUGUAGCCUGCUUAAGAAAACUCGCAACUUUUUCUAUCUCGAGAAACUUAAACAGCGUACCUAUCUUUGAUACCCAGUUGUUUUCUUCCUGGAACAAGGAGCUGCCAAGCUUGAUAGAGGAUUUGCUGGCCAUCACCAGACUGGAAACAUCCGACCGCUCGUGCUCCUCCUUGUCAUACAGUCGCUUCUCGAUGACAACUCUAAAGUUUUCAUCUCUUGUUCGCAUCUGCAAUCGACAAGGCUUCAUGUUACACUUUGGAGGCAGAAAGAAAAUUUAAUUGGUUCUCUACCUCAACGACGGGUUGCUUUCCCUGUAGAAGAUUGUCUACGCUCUUGUCCGACUGAGAAAAGCGAAAAACAGAUGGAUCCAGAGAUCGAAAAACAUAUUGUUUGUACCUGGUGUGCUAUCCAGUGGCUCCGCUCUCUCAUCUCAAUGAGUAUUGAAAAUGUCGGUGGAGCUUUCCUUUCGAGCACGGUUUUCUGCGUACCUCUUGCUCGUGCUUCGUCAUCACCUAAAGUCACUGUUUGGAUGCCACCAACCUGAAAGAAAAAAAGAAGAAAAAAAGCUCGUAAGGACGAACAAGAGCAUCACGCAGAAGAAAAACUAUAAAUGCGAUUUGAUGUACCAAGUCAGAAAGCGUGGGAUUCUUGAUGAUGUUCUCCAGUGUCUGCCCAUGCGCAGUAGCAACCAGCAUCACUCCUCUUUCGGCAAUUGUCCGGCAGGCAAGAGCCUCUGCUUCCGUCCCAAUCUCGUCCACGAUCACAACUUGUGGCAUAUGGUUCUCUACGGCUUCCACCAUAACUCUGUGCUGCAUUGACGGAUCUGGCACCUGCAUUCUUCGUGCACCACCGAUGGCCGGGUGUGGCACGUCUCCGUCACCACCAAUCUCAUUGCUGGUGUCCACCACCACCUGAUAGCAUCCAUCAUAGCAUUAGACCAUUGUCACGGACUCUCCUGGCCUCUCUGAAAUGGAAAAGCGCAAAAAAGAGGAAGAAAAGAAAGAUGUCCUGGGUGUGUAAGCACCACUCUCUUGCGUAGAUCAUCAGCAAGGACCCGCGCAAUCUCUCGGAUAACAGUUGUUUUUCCAACACCGGGUCUGCAGAAACAAGUUUUGAGCGAGAGGCGAAGUUUCACGAGAGUUCUGACCUGCCAAGGAAUAGAAUGCUUUUUCCACAGUCGAGGAGGUCGCGAACCAUGUCAACAUGUCCAGUCACAGCUCUCCCAACACGGCACGUCAAGCCGAUGAUCACGCCUUUACGGUUGCGAAUGGCUGAUAUUCUGUGGAGUGUUCCCUCGAUUCCUGCUCGAUUAUCACUUCCAAACUCCCCCACUGCAGCCUCGGCUGCUUGGAGAUCAUCCCUCGUUAUCUGCAAUGCAAAAAAUGAAAAAAGAAGUAUAGCAGAGUAGCUUAAGUCAAAUGGAUGGAAGCGAGUGGUUUACCUCAUUGUCUCGUAAGUAUUCUCCACCUCUGUGUUUUAGAAAACGAGCCUCGGGACGACGUCCAAGAUCCAAGACCACCUGUGAUGUGAUAUACCAUCGCUAGAAAUUCUUAGCUACUAUACCAACACACACAAACCUCCAAGAGAUCCCCGCGCUUGGGAUGCUUCAAGAGAUUUUGACGAAUGCCUUCGGGAAGGAUCUGCAAACAAAGAAGAAGAUAUGAAGCAUCUUUCAUGGAAGCGUGGAAUUCUUCUACCUCCAAAAGAACAUCCAAAUCGUCCUGGACGAUGAUCGCGCCAUCCUCCAUAACUCUUUGCUCCAAUGGACCAGCUUCCAACUCAUCAUCCUGCGAAGCCAGCGACUUCACAGCACGGAGAACUCUCCGCCGCCCUCGAAAGCUCCUCGGGAGAGACGUGACUUUGCACGAAUCCAAAACUUUGGAUCCAUUCCUCGCGAAAGCCGACCUCUCCGACGGAACGAAUGAGCGCCGGAGCCCAGCGGAGGGGCAGCAAACGCCGUAAUGCAUUCUCGCAAGAACUCCACCCGCCACUCCCUAGCUAAAAAUCUGCAAGGAUGGAUGGAUGGAGCAUCCACCAGGAAAUCUCUCCUAAUCCCAAUGCGGGCAUCAAAUACCUCGAUUUGGAGGCGCUGGAUCGAUAGAUCACUGUUCUAUCACGAAAUCGCAACCUCGCCCUUGCGCGAGGGCUCCUUCCCACGAAGAUGAACUCCCGGACCUAAAGAAAGUCACAAACGUUGUCUCUUUCUACACGAAUGCCCGGGAAUAUCCCACCACGGCAUAUCUCCAGAGAUUCCAUUCUCUUGUGUUAUGUUAAUGUUGGCCUGCAACCACGCGAGUAAAUUCAACGAUGGAGCUGGAGUGCAAAUUCAACUUGGAUCACAUCACCACCAAGAAAUUUACAACGCCCACCCGGGAUAGAAUUAAAUUACCUCUCGCUCCAUGCACACAAUGCACCACUGGAGCUUUUGAUGGAAUAAGAAAGGGAAAAAUGCGAGCUAGAUUUUGAUUCUAGCAGCAGCAGUGGCAUGGGACUCGAAUCGAGUGAAUUUGGGUUUCUUUUGAUUGUUCUGGCGAUUGUUCUAGCUUCUUCACAGUCGGAAGAAGGUAUGGAUGAUCCUGGAGAAGAAAAAAUUUCCAUGCCAAGUAGUUUAGUUCUUCCUCUUCAAUCAUCUUUCUUUCUUUAUAUUAUUCUAUCUUAUUUAGUUCUUAUUCUCAAUUAUUUCUACAUUUUUUGUGUGUGGCAGGCUUUGGCUACCAAGACAAUUCCCUGGGACCAGGGCAGUGGGGAUGCCUCGCCACAAACUUUUCGACGUGUAGAACAGGGACCCAGCAGUCGCCCAUUAACAUAAAAACGCGAGAUGCUAUCGAUGAUUGCUCGCUUGGAAAGCUGAGAUUCCAUUUCUCCCACUCCGCAGGAACACUCACCUCUCAGAAGUACCUCUACAGAGUAAAAACUCCUCUAAAUUCUGAUUGCUCGAGUCAACACUUUGAUCUU